rnacentral:lncRNA from 1 species
AAUCUAUUAUGUUUCUAAACAGGACAACUUAUGGUAUCUAUACCUAUCUAAUAAUAAAGCGGCUAUUGCUUUCGUCGGAAAACCCAUCGCGGCAUUUUUAUAAAAAAGCCCCUGUAAUUUCUGUUAUUCAAUCCGCUUUUCAUCAUUUAUCUGCAACGCAAAAGGAAAAAAUGAUUCGCUGCAAAAAUUAUAUCCGUACGCAUCGCCUCCUCCCGUCGACCCUCGGGCACCCUGGCCUAUGCCUAGGCCGCCGCCACACCACUCGCCGCCGCGGCCGACCUCAACCGCCACCGCUGCCGUCUCAACCCACCCGCCUCUGCGGCCGUACCUCUCCCCGCUCAUUGCCCCCGUUGCGGCGCUCGAGCGCAUCGCGUCGACCCUGGUCCACCCUGGUCUGUGCCCAGGCCGCUGCCACACCACUCGCCGCCGCGACCGUCCUCAACCACCACUGUUGUUGAUCUCAACCCACCCGCCUCCGCGGCCGUACCUCUGCCCGCUUGCUGCCCCCGUUUCGGCGCUCGAGCAUAAUUUCUGGAUCAAAUCAACGCGACAGCUACAGUGACUGGGGAUAUGCGUCUGCUUGAUGCAAAACAACGGCGGCGCGCGGAUAAGGCGCGGCGGAGCGAAGUACUUGCAGGUGGGAGGCGGGCCUCCAUGGCUCACACGGGGAACUCCGAGGUUAUGGCGUGGCAACGGCGACUCCUUAUGGCCAGAUAGAGGUGCCUAACCCUUGCUCCCCUCAUUGUAUCCCCUCCUCCGACAAGAACUCAUCANNNNNNNNNNNNNNNNNNNNNNNNNNNNNNNNNNNNNNNNNNNNNNNNNNNNNNNNNNNNNNNNNNNNNNNNNNNNNNNNNNNNNNNNNNNNNNNNNNNNUUUCCCAGUGAUAGUAGGGGCAGCAAGGCACACAUCGUGUAGUUGCCAUCAAGGGUAACAAGUUGGGCUUUGUCGUAGAUAUGAGAUUGUCCAUCUACAUCAUGUCAUCUUGCUUAAGGCGUUACUCUAUUCUUUUGGACUUAAUACACUAGAUGCAUGCUGGAUAGCGGUCGACGUGUGGAGUAAUAAUAGUAGAUGCAUAAAGUAUCAGUCUACUUGUUUUGGACAUGAUGCCUAUAGAUAUAAUCAUUGCCAUAGAUGACGUCACGACUUUGCGCGGUUCUAUCAAUUGCUCGACAGUAAUUUGUUCACCCACCGUCUACUUGCUUUCAUGAGAGAAGCCACUAGUGAACACUAAGGUCCCCGGGUCUAUUCACACUUAUCGUUUCCACUUUCGCUUUUACUUUGCUUUGUUACUUUGUUGCUUUCAGUUCUCACUUGGCAAACAAUCUAUAAGGGAUUGACAACCCCUUCAUAGGGUUGGGAGCAAGCAUUUUAUGUUUGUGCAGGCACUUGUGAUACUCCUUCACUGGAUCGAUACCUCGGUUCUCAAAACUGAGGGAAAUACUUACCACCGUUGUGCUACAUCACCCUUUCCGCUUCGAGGGAAACCAACGCAAGGCUCAAAGGCCGCGGGAAAUCCUUUGCAUAUUUGCCUAGGAAGUCCCUAAAGGCGUAGCCGUAGCAGAAGGAUUCCUGGUGCCGUUGCUGAGGAGUAUCAAGACAAGAACAGUCUCCCGUCAGCACGUGUUUCUGGCACCGUUGGAAGGUCUUUUGUUGCAGUAGCAGUUCCUCAUUUCAAAUCUCUCCUCAAAAUUCCAAUUCCAAGGUACAUUAUUCAUCUGUUGUCAUCCCCAUAGUUUGAUAUGGUCCAACAUUUCCUUCAACUGUAUUCAGUGGAUUAUGGCUCCUUGGUAUGCAUGGUACAUUCCUACUCAUUGAAUCAUGUGGGUUUAUCGAUUACUACCACACUAAAAUGAGAUAUACUCAUGCCUGCAUAGACCAUAUUUUCUCAUAUCCUCGAAAAUGGUCAGCGGUCUUUGUUCAUAGAGAAACAACUCAUACAAUUUGAACAUAAGAAAUCAUGACACAAUAAAUUCCAUUGAUUCAUGAAGUUAUUACAAUCUCUGAGUCUUCCAUUACAAAAUUCAACUCCAUAAUCUCAUGAAACAAGAGUGCUUCAUGUUACACUUAUUGCCAUUGUCAAAACUUAACUACUCCAUUUUAGCUUUCUUCCCAUGUGGACAAUUACUAACAUAAUGUCAUGCUUCCUUGCAACGGAAGCAAAUGAGUUCCGACAAGUCUCGGGGUUUCUUGGUGUUUACUUUUACUCCUUGGGUUUCCUGCUUCUUUCCUGGGCACAUAUUGAUGUAGUGGCCCAAUUCCUUACACUUGAAACAUCUGAUAUGACUGAGGUCUUUAUGUGCAAGGAUUUGACUCUGGCUGGUGUACUUUCUCUUCUUUCCGGACUCCUUCAUUCUAGCCAGUUCUUCUUUUUCAAGUGGAUCAAACUCUACUUUUUCUGUCGGGAAGUCUCCCAGGUAUUUAUGGCUUUCCUUCGUGCAAUCCUGUGAAAAAUGUCCUUCUCCACAUGAGUAACAUGCAUUGGAGAAAAAUCUGGUUAGGCUCUCUCCAUCAGGAUCUUCUAUAUUUUCCUUCAUCCCCGGUUCUUCUAGAAUCUUGUCCUUGAGUGUUUCUUUCAUUGCUUCUUUCUGCUGCUUGACAACUUUUUGCACCUUGGGGUAAAUGUGACACGGAGCUGGGUACUGGGUGAUUCCUUCACACAAGAAGCAAGUCACCUGACUAGUUGGGCAUUCCUCUGCUGGGUGAUUUUAUUCACAAUGAGGGCAUCCAUCCUUGUGUUCUCCCUGGGUGUGUCCUAUUUCUCCACAUAUCUUACAUGCAUAAGGUUUCUUCAUCGGGCUAUCAUAGCACUUCUGAAUGAGAAGGGAUCUUAACAGAGUCUUCUUGAAUUCGUCCAAAGUUUCUGCUCCACUAAAUCCUUGUAUGGCAUGAUGCAUUUUCCACCAGAUAGCAACACCUUGGGUAAAGUACUGAAGAGUGUGUGCCACUUCAUAUUUCCUUGAAAUCAAAUUGCUCUCGAAGUGGUUCUCCAUGUUCCGAAUCCAUAUUUCAACUUCGAGAUGGGUCAUUGGUCCAGAGAUUACAAGUCCAGCUUCGUACGCCAUCUAUUGGUUCCAUGGUUUUUGGGAUGAGAUGGGUAAGAGAGGGAGAGAGAGAGGGAAAAUAUAUAAACAAAAGACACAAAAAUAUCUAAAAUCAAAUCCACACAUUCAUAAAGUUCAAUCAAUAAUAUAGUAUCGCCACCCACAUAAGGUUGGUCUGGUCGAUCACACAAUACGCAAUAACGUUCGUCUUUAUUUCUCUCAUGGGGGGCUACUACUACUAAGCUAGCUCAUAUCAUGUCUUCAUCAUCAGUGGGCUUCUUCUCGUCAGGCUUGAUCUUCUCAAGUUCUUCUGCCAUAUAUUCCCUGUUUUCGCGGAGUUUCCGAUGUCGUCCUUGUAGUUCCAGGAGUUGGUUCUUGAGCUUCUGGAUUUCAACAUCACCAACAUGUGCCAUAGCUUGACUAUUCUUCAAGUCUUGACGAAGCUUCUGAAUCUAGGGAUCGUGUUUCUUCACAUUGGCUACCUUCCGUUUCCCGCCCUUGAGACUCUCAUGAAGUGUGUUAUUCUCAAACAAUUCUGAGAGAAGGUCCAUCUGAAGGUUCUUGAUAUAAUGUUCCAGUUCUUGAUUAUACACCACUACAGGUGAAAACUUCACCUUCUGCUCGUCUGCCAGGAUGAUGUGUGCUCCCUCAGGCUUCUGCCAUCCAAGCCUUCCAAAGUAGUGAGUAUCCAACUUAACACGAUGACGAUAGCUCAAACGUACGAUAGCAUCAUGAACAACAGUGUUCAUGCCCAUAUCACAGUCAUGGGUCAACGUGCCAUAGUUGAUGUCUUCAGUCUUGGGGUCUUCUUUACGCCCAAAUUUUUUAGUUCUGACACCCCAAAAUCCAAACUUCCUCUUAGUCACCUUGAUCCCACGUAUCGGCAACUUCAUCAUCUGUACCAGCUCCAUGAGAAAUGGGCCUCCGAGAACAUCUUCGUUGUGCUCUCUUUCGUUCAGAGUGUAACUCUCCAUUUAUAGUUUUUGAAAUAGGGAAUGUUCAGUAAAAGAAUUAAGAGGUACGAGAGUAGUGAAAAUAAAAGUUGUUCCUAUCAAGGUCUUCCUAUUUCUAAGCCAUUUCCUAGGGUUACGUCCUACAGUCAACAUGUGCUCUCAUACCAUAUCUGUAGCGACCCGACUCAAAAAGAGUCAAGCCUCUGUGUAUCUGUGCCAUCCCUGGAUCAUUAUGCCGGCACACACAGUACAUCAAUGUAAAUAUCAAAGUGCAAUCACAUGUAAAUAACGUAAAAUUGAUAUAUAUACCUCAAAAUCUCAGCGGAAAUAGUCAAAGGGAGUGGAUUCCCAAUAAACAUCAACGACAGGUUGAGUGCAGACCGUAACCCUGAAUCAUACUCUUACUCGUCGAAGAAAGUAUCUGCAACAUAAGAUGUUUAGGUCAACAUAUUGAAUAUGCCGGCAAGUCACAAAAGAGAGGGUGAAAAUAUCAUCUAUCCUAUAUGCAUAUAUGGCAGGUGGGGCUGUAGUUUAAGUUUGCAUAAAGCAAAAUUUUCCUACAGCAAGAGAGAGGUAAAAGAAAAAUUUACUACAUUGUUGGUUGUUAAUGAGAAAGGUUCCACCAACCAUUUAUCAUACCCAAGUUAUCAAUAUUACCCACAUCAAUAAGUUAAUGGUGUUGAGAAUUCCUGAUAGCUCCAGUUCCUUUGGCUGAAGUUGUCCAUGACCGUGGACACGACUAACCGAUUAGUUUUGCGUACUCUGYAGAGUUUUGCACACGUUUCCCAUAAGAUUUGAUUGCCUUCGUUGGAGUCCUCGCACUUCAGGGUGUUUGAUAACCGGAUGAUCAAAACAUGGUCUUCCAAAGGGUUCCUCUGAGCCACUGUCGGUGCCCAUCCAAUCCUACCGUUCUUCUACAUCUCAUAGCACUGCCCGUCGAGAGUCACCACAAUGUCCGACCAAGCCAGCGCCCAUAAUGACUUGUUUAUGUGCAGGUAAGCCUCGGGUCUUGAAGUAUCCAUCCAUCUCUUCGUGCCUGGAUGAAGCUUUCUGCAAGAUGUCAUGGCGCUUCCCCAUGCAUCCCGGGUCAUCCACUGGUUUCCCCAGGGAGCCCAUCAAAACCGUGCUUCACCCAGAGGUAUAUUGCAUCAUGAGGUCUUGAGAGUCUUGAAGUCUUCAGGUCUUGAUUAUUAAGUUCUCACAACACUCAUGGUAAACACUCAACCAGACCCCGUCUACUAGGAGCAUAGCAAAUUAACAUCCCGACCAAGUACCAAGAGUUUAUGAGUGCCUAGCACAUGAUACUACAUCAAGAACCAAAAUUUCCAAGUACUUAUUUGCAUGCAAUGGGCGAAGAAGGUUGAUCUAAUGCAAUAAAACCAUAGGUAAAUUUUGAUCAAAGUGAACUUGCCUCGUAAGGUUGUGGAAGAUAGAUAUCGCUCACAGGAAAAACUAGAUAGAACUAUUCGUCACUCUCCGAUGAAAUCUAUAUAAUCAAACAUAGUUUUCAUAUAAGAAAUCAUACUAGCAAUCAUCCUAGCAAUCAAUAUCACAACAUCAAAUAGAAUUUAUCCAAUAAAUCAAAUCAAAAGAGAAUCCAAAAGAAACUUCAAAGAAAAACUGUGGAGCCUUCUACUAUAACAAUCACCAAAUAGUUUGUGUUCUAAUUAAACUUAACAGCAAAUAAAACACUAAAAUAGUAAAAUAAGGGAAAGUAAAAUAUAAAUUAACUAAGAUAACAGAAAGUAUUUUUCAUAAAAAAAUAUUAUUUUGAAAUUAUUUUCAAAUAGGAAAUCAACUAGCAACGAAAUCAAUUUGUAAGUUAUUACCGAACUAGAAUUGAAUUCAUGCUAUCAAAUAAUACUAAAAUUUUGUUGUUGUUAAAAACCUACUGUUAACUAGCAGAAAAUAAAAAUAUAACUUUUCACAAGUAUAAAAGAAAAUAAAUUUAAAACAAUUAUAGCAAAAGAAGUAGCAAAAAUCCUAAAAAGAACUAAACAUAAUCUGUUUUGCUUAAAAUUCUUAUUUAAUAUAUCCUAAAAAUUCUGAAAUUAACCCACUGACAAUUAAUAUCACUACUGAUCAGUAGCAAAAAGAAUUAACUCAAAAGCUAUUUUAAAACUCCCAAUAUUCACAAAACAAGGUUUAAACCAAAUCUGUUUAAAAUCAAAAUUUAAAUAUCCAAAGAGGGUCAAAUUUUAUAUCUACAGAAACUACAUAAGAUUUGUGAUCUAACGCAAAAAGAAUCACCUAAUUUGGAGUUAUAGACCAAUAGAUAUGAAUUUUCUAAGUUUGCUCUUUUUCGGAAAAAACUGUUACGGGAUUUUUGAAGCUCACCGGAGAUAGUCGCCGGAGUUGGAGAAGGCGACGGGAAGGUGGCUCCGGUGGUCGCACGAGGCGGCAGAGGAGUCCAGGUGGAGGAGGGGGAGCUCCGGCGAAGCUUGGUGGUGUCGGCAGGGGCUAGGGGCGACAGGAGGGAGGAGCAGAAGCUCGUGGAGCUUCGGUGGGGGCGAGCUCCGGCGAGGGUGGCGGGGCGGUGUUCCGGCGAGGGGAGUGUCGGGCUUGGGGGAAAGCGAAGAGAGGGGAGGCUCGUCUAUGUAUAGGCGGCCUCGGGAGGGUCGGGGAAGGAAAGGGCAAAUAUAUCGACUCGGGAUUCUUUGCCCUCGUGAGGAAGCUUCUGUACGCGCACGGAAGGAAGGAGGAGCUCGUGAGGAACAAGAAGAGGAUACGGAUCAGAUUUGCUAACGGGCCCAAGUCACUUUCCUAAUAAAAAUGAUUUAUUUUCUAUUAUGCAAAAAACGGAAAGGAAACUAAAUAAACAAAAAUCUAUAACACUUUUAUAUAGACAUAUUAUAUACCAAAAUUUGCAGAAAAAGAUUUUCCCACAAGAUGAACAUUUUUUCAAGGCCAAACAAAAUUCUCACAAAAUCAUAAAAUUCAAACAGUGUUGCUCGCUUAAGAAAAAUGCAAAGAAAACAUUUUGAAAAUACUAAAAUGGAUUCAAAUUAAUUUCUCUCCAUUUUUAUAUUGAAGGGAAUCAUUUUACCCUAUUUUACAGGUAUUUUAUUUUUGGAGAAAAAUAAAUUUGAAAACCACUCCAAUUUUUUUAAACAUAAUAUAAUUUUUUUUCAAAAUAGUAUUGUGAGUUUCAUAAGUUCAAAUAUAAUUUCAAAUGGCCCCUGGUUUGUAGUGUCAUAUUGCUCCUCUCAAGAUUUUGAAUUUUUGGUAAGGGGAUUUUGAAUUCAUUUAAACCUUCAAAUAGGACCAAAUAUGAAAUAGAUUGCGAAAGAAAUUAUUUUCACGGACCACCCUUUUUUCCAAGUCCUUUAUUUUGAAGAAGUCAUGUUAUCUUCUCUCAAUGAUUUGUAUUGGAUGAAAUUGUAAUUCAAAAUAAAAUGGGGAAGUCAUUUUAUUCCCUCUCAUUCAAAAGUUUUAAAAAAGUCUUGAAUUUCACUCAAGUUUCAAUCACUCCAUCAAACAAUCAAUUAAUCUAGUAGUUAUAUUAACAUUCCAAAAUUUGGGAUGUUACAAACCUACCACACUUAAAAUGAAUCUCGUCCUCGAGAUUCGAAGAGGCUAGAAAGAAAAGGUUAGGGUUUGGGGGUCUUCUAACAAAUCCAAUUUCGUGCAUGGUGGGGUGCUACCACACUUAGAAUGAGAGUUACUGGUCCCUCAAAAAUUUACAAUCCUUUGGGGUCUUGGCAUCAGACUCCUCACAUUCUUCAUACUAACACCUUUGGCGAUGCUCUUGCGUUAUAUUCAUAACGUUCCCCUGAGAAUCUGAUGUCUUUCGUGGAUAUAAGCUUCUUUUGUCACUGGGUCUUCUUAUCGGAGAAGUCUCGUGACCAUUAUAAAUAACCUAUCGAUGAUUCUCAUGGUGAUCUAAAAUUUGUGGUUAUCCUGUAGUGAGAAGGGUCUUGGCUUCAUCCUCACCGUAAAAUUUCCUACAGGUGACAACCAAUGCCAUGUACAUGGGGCUUUCAUCAUACCAUUCUAAGGCUUAAACAAAAGCUUCAAAGAACGUCGUCUCUCUCUACGGGUAAGUUUCUCAGAUUCACCAUUCCGAAUAGCAAGGGAAUGAUAAGAGUAAGUCGCCAUGGUGAUCAAUCCAUUUCGCACCCAAAUCAUUACUCUGUAUAAGGUUUAGCGAAUCUCGUAUUCUAACACUCGGGCAUCCUCACAAGCAUUACAAAAUUUCUCUCAUCCACGAACGAAGUUUGGAUAAAUCCAAUGAUUCUGCGAGCUCAAAAACAUCUACGUUUCUUCACAACUCUGGGAUUUUCGUAUGCUCCUAAGAAAACGUUUGUUGAUCCAUCAUAGCUUUUUUCCUUCAUGCUCUUGGGGCAACCUUCAUGAAAAUCUCAGGGUGCGUCCUUGGUACGGGUUGUAUUCCUUGAGUACAUUUUUCUCUUCCCUUGGUCUAUUUACCAAUAAAAGUGUUUGUUCCUGAUACGUCUCAAACGUAUCUAUAAUUUUUGAUGGUUUCAUGUUGUUAUCUUGUCAUCUUUGGAUGUUUUAUGUACCUUUUAUAUCUUUUUUGGGACUAACUUAUUAAUUCAGUGCCAAGUGUCAGUGCCAGUUUUUAUGUGUUUUUGGCUCUUUUCAGAUCUGAUUUUGGAACGGAGUCCAAAUGGAAUCAAAUCCCUGAAAUAAAUUUUUCCCGAAUGGAAGAAGAUCAGGGGGCUUGAGGGCCAAGCCAGGAGAGCUACAUGGGGCCCACAAGCCCUGUAGCCGCCACCAGGGGGCGGCGGCUAGCAGGCUUGUGGCCUCACUGGCGCCCCCUUGACCUAGCUCCUUCGCCUAUAUAUUCCCUAAAAUACAGAACAGAAUCAGGGAAUCCACGAAAACACUUUUUCGCCGCCGCAAGCUUCCGUUUCCGCGAGAUCUCAUCUGGAGACCCUUCCCGGUGUCGUGCCGGAGGGGACUUUGGAGUUGGAGGGCUUCUACAUCAACAUCAUCGCCCCUCCAAUGACUCGUGAGUAGGUCACUUCAGACCUACGGGUCCGUAUUUWGUARCUAGAUGGCUUCUUCUCUCUCUUGGAUCUUCAAUACAAAGUUCUCCAUGAUCUUCAUGGAGAUCUAUCCGAUGUAAUCUUGUUUUGCAGUGUGUUUGUCGAGAUAUGAUGAAUUGUGGAUUUAUGAUCAGAUUAUCUAUGAAUCUUAUUUGAGUUUCUUCUGAUCUCUCUUAUGCAUGAUUUCAUAUCCUUGUAAUUCUCUUCGAGUUGUGGGUUUUGUUUGGCCAACUUGAUCUAUGAUUCUUGCAAUGGGAGAGGUGCUUGGUUUUGGGUUCAUACCGUGGGUGACCUCACCCAGUGACAAAAGGGGUGGCGAGGCCCGCAUCUUGUUGUUGCCAUCAAGGGUAAAAAGAUNNNNNNNNNNNNNNNNNNNNNNNNNNNNNNNNNNNNNNNNNNNNNNNNNNNNNNNNNNNNNNNNNNNNNNNNNNNNNNNNNNNNNNNNNNNNNNNNNNNNUCUCUCUCUCUCUCUCUCUCUCUCGCGCGCGCGGCGGCGACUAAAGAUCUGUGCUGGUUUCAGGGCUUCUGCGGUGCGGCAAGAGCUGCCGGCUCCGGUGGAUCAACUACCUGCGGCCGGACAUCAAGCGCGGCAACUUCUCCGACGAGGAGGAGCAGUCAAUCAUCCAGCUGCACCAGCUGCUCGGCAACAGGUGCCCCUCCCCCCCUCCCCACCCUUUACCCCUUGUCGUCUUCCUCCUCCAUCACAUCUUCACUGUUCCGCAAAAAUGGUGGCAAUCAUUGUUGCUUUGCUUCAAUUGCAAAACAGACAGGUUUAUUCCCCUUUUCUUUUCGGGGCCGAAUUACAAUAUGUUAUCAUCACGGGUCCCACCUCCGCGCGCGCGCGCGCACACACAUAUAUAUAUAUAUUAUACUACAAAGAUAAAAAUCUCAAGUGCAUCGUAUAGUAGUGUAGGCCACCUUUGUUAUAGUAUUAUGGCUAAUUGCAUCACCGGUGAUGCGCGAGAUCUUGAAAGAUUCCGUCUUGUUUGGCCGCUCCGGCCACGGGCGCCUUCUUGAUUUCAGUGCCGGCAUUAAACUAGGGGCGGCGCUGCGGUUUCAGAUCACGUCGCGAUCGGAUUUAUUAAACGUCGCCGAAUUCAUCUUGUCAAUCUGUCAAGAACUACGCGCUGAUUGGAUUCGAUCCGUGUUGUUGUUUGCUUGCGCGCAGAUGGUCCGCGAUUGCCGCCAGGCUGCCGGGGAGGACGGACAACGAGAUCAAGAACGUGUGGCACACCCACCUCAAGAAGCGGCUCGACCCCAGCGCGCAGGAGCAGCACGAGGAGGCCGGCGUCGCCAAGAAGCGCAAGAAGCCGGCGGCGGCGGCGGCGCCGAGGAAGCGCGACGGCAAGGUCAAGAUGAGGAACCUCAACGCGCUGACCGCCAGGGCGGCGGCGGCGGCGCCCGUGUCCUCGCCCGAGCGCUCCGUCUCAUCCACGGUCACCGAGUCGACGUCGACCGCCUCGGCGGCGGCGGAGCAGCACGGCAACUCGGGGAGCAGCUCCGCGUCCGCGUCCGCGUCCGUCAAGGAGGAGUGCUUCACCUCGUCCGAGGAGUCGGAGGAGUUCCAGAUCGACGAGAGCUUCUGGUCGGAGACGCUGUCCAUGCCGCUGGACGACCUCAACGACGUCUGCAUGGAGCCCCACGACGCGUUUGGCAAGCCCGACGGCGACAUGGACUACUGGCUCAGACUGUUCAUGGAGGGCGGCGGCGGCAGCGGCAGCNNNNNNNNNNNNNNNNNNNNNNNNNNNNNNNNNNNNNNNNNNNNNNNNNNNNNNNNNNNNNNNNNNNNNNNNNNNNNNNNNNNNNNNNNNNNNNNNNNNNCGCGAGGAGGCGGCGGCGCGGCGAGGAGGCGGCGGCGGCACGGCGAGGAGGCGACGGCGCGGCGAGGCGGCGAGGAGAGAGGCCGAGUUGGCGAGGAGAGAGGCGGCGAGGAGAGAAGGCACGCGCGGGAAGGCGAGAUGUUGGCGACCCCGCAGAGGUAUAGGGCCUUUAGCACCGGUCUGUGUUAACAACCGGUGCUAAAGACCCUUUAGCACCGAUUGUUAACACAGACUGGUGCUAAAGGGUCCAAAAAUUGAGCGCGAACCGAACCCACCUUUAGGACCGGUUGUUGUUACAGACCGGUCCUAAAGGUUUUUUUCCUUUUUCUUUUUUCCUUUUUUCUGUUUCCUGUUUUCUUUUUCUUUUUGUUUCCUUUUUCUUUUUCCUGUUUCUUCUUUUAUUUUUCUUUUUCCUUUUUUCUGUUUCCUGUUUUCUUUUUCUUUUUGUUUCCUUUUUCUUUUUCCUGUUUCUUCUUUUAUUUUUCUUUUUUCCUUUUUCUGUUUUCCUGUUUUCUUUUUCUUUUUGUUUCCUUUUUCUUUUUUCUGUUUCUUCUUUUAUUUUAUUUUUUAGUUUCCUUUUUGUUUUUUUUACNNNNNNNNNNNNNNNNNNNNNNNNNNNNNNNNNNNNNNNNNNNNNNNNNNNNNNNNNNNNNNNNNNNNNNNNNNNNNNNNNNNNNNNNNNNNNNNNNNNNUAUCAACAUCAUCACUUUUUUCCUUGUCAUUGCUCCUCACAGAGCUAAGAAGGAAUUCACCCCUAUUAGGAUCUUUCACCAGAACCUGGUCCACCUCAAAAUAGAAAUCAUAAAAGUGCUCCCCUAGAACAGGCUCAGCUACAGAAGGAAUAUCAUCAACAUUUCUGCACCCAACCUUCACCCUAGCAGAGGCAGGACGGUGUAAGGUUGCACUAUCGAUUUCCAAGGGAACACCUACCAAGGAAGCAACAUAAGCCAUAUUUCUCUCACUUCUUUUAUCCAGAGGAACAUUACUAAUCUUAACCCAGGCCACUUCCAUCACCCCCUUAGACCCAACAGCUGAAGACCACUUAGUCACAUUAAUAACAACACCGCUCGUCUUAAGUACAAUGCGACCCACAUAACAAAUCUGAGCUACAGCCCUGGGAUUAGGAAACCUCACCACAAAAACACCCGGGCCAAUAGCAUGAGCCAAACAUCGCCAUCCUGUGGCCAGAUAGUCAUUAAGAUCAAGCUCCAUUUGUCUAGUAGAUGUCUCCCCUUCAACGAUAUUUACUACAAUAUUAUUAGAUCUCUCCUUCAUUCGAUUAACCGAACAUGGAUCAUGUAUGUAAUAAAAUCCCAUGCCCUCUCGAUUGAAAAGCACACAUAGAGGCAACACAACUCCACGGUAAGAACUCACAACAAACAGAUGCAAGAUGACCCAAUCAACCACACCUUUCACAGAAAGCUUGUGCACAAAACGCAGGAACAUGCUCACGAGACUUGCAGAUGAGGCAUGGAUCAAAAACAUUGGUAUGGCCAUAUGGUUUAAUGCAACAAGAAAGUUUAAAAUCUGAGGUAUUCUUGUGCACGUUGUGGAUGUUCAAUUGACCGGGCGUAGGUGGCAGCAUAGAAUACACACGGACAAGAAGGUAGUCUUCACCAAUCACGUACAUCUAUACUUCUAUAUAGUGUACGAGUUUUGAAUGUUUGAGUUCAGGCAUCGAAAUGCAUUUUUAGCCGUCCAUUGGGCUCCAUCCAACGGCUUAUAGCGCAGGGAUUCGCUACUACAAUACCAUUCAGUGUUAUCUCGGUCAUUCCAGAAACAACGAUGGGUUAGCACUGAGUAAGGGACCCCACUGCAUGUGAGUUCGCUGGAGCAAAUAGUCACCAUGCCAUAUCUGCAGCGCUGGGGCAAUACAAAUUGUUUUACCAACGCUGACUGCUGACACCCGCAGAGCUACAUGGCCUGUGUGGUUCGAGAAACAAGUGUGAUCCGAACCACUAGGUCUGACAGGAGGUGAAAGAGUGGAAAUAUAAGAAAUAAAAAUAAACAGAUCAAACCAAUGCAGCAUGCACAUAGGAUACAUGGCCUCACUACCUCGUAUUCAUCUAUGUGUGGGAAGCUGUAGUACUCCCUCCUUUCCGGUUUAUAGGGCUCAAAUCUGAAAUCUCAUAAACCAAGGUGAAUUGUGAGUAGAUGGCACUAGUUUUAACUAGCCAAUGAAAUAUUUCUCACAUAUUCAAUUUUGAAGGCAAUAAAUGUAGCAUCCUCCUUCUCAUUGGACUUGCAUGGUGGAUGUAAAAAACGAUGCAUGCAUAGCCACUCAUCUCCUUUCUCAUAAACUCUAUGAAUUAAAUAUGGUGUGGAACUCAAAACACUUUAACUCAAUUAGACUCAAAAUGAGCCUAAUAUAAUGAAAAUCUGAAAAUUUUGAAAUGAGCCCUAUAAACCGGAAAGGAGGGAGUAAAUGCUAUAGUGAAACAUACACUAGUGGAGAAAGGGGUAUUAGAACCGGUUGGUAAGGGCCUUUGGACCCGGAUACACAUCCGGUGCUACGUAUCCGGGACUAAAGCCCCCCCCCCUUUAGCACCGGUCUCUUACAAACCGGUGCUAAAGGCCUCCACGUGGGCGCCGAAGAGUGCGCGCAGGCAUAGGACCUUUAGGACCGGUUGGUAACACCAACCGGUCCUAAUGCCCCCCCCCCCCCCCUUUUCAGGGUUUCCGAUUCCGUAUUUCGGCGUUUCCGUGUUCCGUAUUUUCAGGGUUUUCGUUUACGUGUUUCCGGUUCCGUAUUUCCGUUUACAUCUUUCCGAUUCCGUGUUUCCGAUUCCGUGUGUCCGUGUUCCGUUUUUUACGAACACGUAAUCGGAAACACGUAUCCGGAAACACCGAUUCCGUGUUUGCGGUUAACUGUUUCUCCGAUUCCGUGUUUGCGGUUAAAUGUUGAUGCACCUAAUAAAAGUACAUAUAUACAUGUAACACGAAGUACUGGACCGAUUAUCAUUACAUAAUUUGAAGUUCGUUUCCUAUAGCUGUAUACUUGCAUAGAGAAGGGAGCUGGCUAUUGGUUCAUAGGAUGGAAAAAUUCUCCGCCUUCAUCUAUGACUUGCGUGAGGAGAAAUCCUGCCAAUUCCUCUGCAACUGCCUUGCAACGUUGGAUUGGUCUUAGCAUCGCCCGCUUUCGUUGCAGCUUUAAAAGAAGUAGAUGAAAACAAUUAAGUUAUGAACAAAACUAACAUAAUUGAUGGCAACAUAAAUAAAGUUGUGAAGAUCCGGUUACGUACCUCUAGAUUUCUGGAAGUACGGGAUUUCUCAUUGAUAAUCCUGUGAAUGUACUCGCAAACGUAUUAUCCACAAUAAUCAGUGCCCUGUGGUUGUUGCGGGACGCCCUAUAUACGAGAACAUAAUUCGGUCAAAUUAAUAAUAAUCAAGAGAAUGGUAAUGGUAUUGAAACCAGGGUACGUAGUACUACUUACUUUGUUAAUCUGAAAGUGGAGCUUGUCUGCCCAUGUACCGGGUUCUUCCUUGAUGAACAUUUGCCAAACCCUGGCCGACAAAGAAAAAUGAAUACAAGAGUUAAUUAUUACUUACUUGAUAUCAGGAAAUGAACGAAAAAGAGGCCGAUGAACGAAAGAGGCCGAUAUAUAUAUAUAUAUACCUUUGAAGCAUCUGACGCGCGCUCUUCCAUUUGUCAGCGGCCCAGGUUAACGGGUCCCAGACUUCAACCACUCCUUGAUCGAUUCUAAUGAUGAACAAUAUGAAGUGGGACCUGCGCACGUGUACACACGCAGUCAUGCAUACUCAUCAAUUACACUUAACAUCAGGUAAGCAAAAUGGAAUGUGUACAAGACAGUAACACUCACUUGAAUCCGUAGGGCCAAAGUAUUUCUUUUUUGGUACUUUGUGGCUUCAAAAACCUUAGCAAAUCAUCCGGUGUAUCCUUGUUGAACUUUUCUAUUGUCUCUUGAUGAAACGAAUACGGGUCAAUGAACCCAAAGUCCCAGAUUCCUGCCAACCUGCAUUCACGAAUCUUCAUUCUGCAUAGUAGCGUACAAAAAGAAUGUCUCGUGAGUGAUAAUUAUACGGGCAAUGAACGCGAUCUUAACUAAAUAAUUAAAUUACACAAAUAAAACACUUACAAACAGUAGCAGCUGACGAUAGCUUUGUCGAGGGCACGUUGAUUGUACAUCUGGAAAAAAUCAUCGAACCCAACCUCCACACCGUACUCUCCGAAGUAGUGUUGAUCCUGAACUGCCGCCAUGAUACAGUCUCUCUUUUGCCUUGCGGCCUCCAAGUACCAACCAUGUAAAUUCCAUAGUUGGGUUGUUAGAGCACUAGGAUUUUCGACCAGAGGCUGCUCGGGCUUAUAUUUAUAUACCACAUCAGCAAUAGCGUAACCUACGUCGCCCAUGCGUGGACCGGACACUGAAGCCUGGUCAGAUAACACCUUGAGCGGGGCAAUUGACUGUGCUUCUUGUUGUCCGAGCUGGGGAACUUGUUUCCCGCAUUUCGUCUGCUCUGCCUGCUUCAUCUGCUCCGCCUGCUUCAUCUGUGCGGUGUGCAUCUUUUCAAUGAACCGUUCAUAGUCUGAAAGGGGCGGCGGUGGCGGCGGUUCAGGAUAAUAUAAGUUGUCGAUGGUGCGCUCAAUUUUCCACUUUGGUACAUUCUUCAGAGUUUCCUUCCAGAUGUCUGGAGGGGGCUUCAGGGGAAACCGUGCGAACCAUGCUUUGUUUUUGGCUUUCACGGCCUCGUCUAGUUCCUCCGGAGUCAUCAGGCCUGGUAACUUCGGGGGAGUCUUGACUUUAUUGGGUUUCCUUUCUCUCUUCUUGGGAGGAGUCCCGUUUCUUCUGAACUGCAGCUUCCGCUUUGCCGUACCCGUAGUGCGCGCAUCCGUCGGCUCACUGGAGUGCACGGGCGAUGGACACUCGGCCUCGGGCUCCCUAUCUUCGUUGUGGGGUGGACUUGGAGGUGCGUUGGGGGAUGGACUUGGAGGUCGUGCAUUCUCUGUACGAAAGUGAAAAAACUAUUAAAAAUAGGCUUACAUGUGGUGCAACAUUCAGUAAUUGUUGGAGGUGGUGCAUAAUUGUACCUGGAGGAGUCGGUGGCCUUGGCGCCGCGUUAGGAAACACGAUGUGUUUCUUCUUCCACAAGAUGAUACCAAGCUCCAUUUCUCCGAGUGUCUUCUCGCCUUCACCUCCAGGAUUAAGAGCUCAAUUGACUGGCAUCCCGGCGUAAUUGUUGACAACCCGACACGAGCAUGGGAUGCUGGAAUCUGACCACCAUGGUAGGUUGCUCCAGGUUGAUUCGGUAAAGCAUAGCCUGACGCCACCAUGAAGGAUAUGUUCCCCAUUGGCAUAUGUAUCUCACAGUUUGUCUUCUCCGUGACAUCAUCCAUGGGGUAGUGAGGCGCCGACGGUUCGACUGCAGGACCGUCUUCUAGCUGCAGCUGCGUGGAACCCACGCUGCUUCUAUGCUGAGAUGGGACGGCAUCUGCUACAGGAUCGUCUUCUAAUUGCUGCAUAUCAGCAUCAGGUGCAGGAUCUUCUUCCUCCUCUUCAGUGUCAGGUACAGGGUGUCCCCCUUUCUUCAAGAGAAACGACACCUUUUCUUCUAAUGUCGCUAUCCGUUCCAGCGCCUUCCUCUUGCUUCUACCACGGCUUCUGUAAGUGCCAAGGUCCGCCGGAAACCCUUGGUUCCACGGGGUAGUGGCUCCAAAGCCUCGUGUUCGUCCCCACUUUUCGGGGUUCCCGAGUGCCUUCGUCAACUCGUCGUUCUCUCUAUCGGGAACAAAAGUUCCUUUUCGAACAGCUUCUAUUGCCUUCUCUAGAUCUGAUACGACUUGUCUUAUUUUUUCCGACCAUGGUCCCUCCGCAACAAUCAUCCCAGUCUCAGCGUCCAACGUUGCCCCAUGCGCGAACAACCAGAACUUGGACCUAUCGGGCCAGUCAUGUGUCUGUGGAAUGAUAUUUCUUUUCAGAAGCGCAUCUUCAUAGCGUCGCCACCUAGGCAGGGCAGUCAUGUAGCCACCUGACCCCAAAAUAUGGUGAUAUUUCUUCUUCUUCGCAUUCUCCGUAUUUGUGGCUGAUCGGGAUGUAAAGACACCCGAUUUCUUGUACGCCUUAAAAUCAGGCCAAGCGUCUCUUAUCUUCACUAGGUGCCCAGUGAAAACUGGAUCUUCGUCCUUAUAUUUCUUCCACAAGUCUUUCUUCCACCUCUGGAAUUGUGUGGCCAUCUUCUUCAAAGCCCACUCCUCGACUUUCUUCUUCUUAUCUUCCGCUACGCUGAAAUUUAGCCAGACCGUGUCGCAAAGCACUCUUUUCAAUCUGUCAUCGACAUAAGUAGCUCCAACGUUGGCGCCGGUCUUCGGCUUAUUCCAUUCUAUUAAGUUGAUCGGGACCAGGUCUCUUACAACAACUCCGCACUGAUUUACAAAUUUGCGAUAAGUUUCUGGGGGUUCCAGUGGUUUGCCAUCAGCGGCAACUUUAUCGAUCGAGUACCUUGCAGUAUCUUUCAACCUUGCGGCCAGGCCUCGUUUCGACUUUGUCUCAGUACUUGCGCUAGGUGUUCCGGAGGGCACCUAAACGGGAAAAUAAUGAUUCGUUAGUAAGUGCAAUACAAAUUAAUUGUUGCGUCAACAGUGACUUGAGAUAUACAUUGGCAGAGUUUGUUUCGGAGGGCACUUCUUCAUCUACUACAUCUUCUAUAUUCUCAGCUCCGUCACCGGAGUCGUUCAAAAAUUGAUUGCUAAACGCAUGCCCACCGUCGUCAUCAUGAUAUAUGGCCGUUGCAUCUUCAAAAAUCAUCUGGCACAUGUAUCUUUCCUUCUCCGCCUCACCCAUUUCCGCGAGCUGAUCGGCGUGCUGAUCAUGUGGUUCUUGGGGAUCCAUAGCUCAACACCUGUUAGUAACAAGAAUUUAACUUAGCAAAAUUAUUUACGGAAAAGUUUUACGGAACCGAAAAUUUUACGGAAAAGUUUUACGGAAUCGUCGGAGUCGUAAUCGUCGCAAAGUUUUACGGAAUCGUCGGAAAGUUUUACGGAAUCGUCGGAAACUUUCCCCGCAGUUAUGGAAUCGUCGGAAUCGUAGGAAAGAUUUACAGAAUUGUAAUCGUCGGAAAGUUUUACGGAAUCGUCGGAAUCGUCGGAAACUUUCCCCGCAGUUAUGGAAUCGUCGGAAUCGUAGGAAAGUUUUACGGAAUUGUAAUCGUCGGAAAGUUUUACGAAAUCGUCGGAAUCGUCGGUUUAGGGUUUUAUGGAAUCGUCGGUUUAGGGUAAACUAUGAAUCGUCGGAAUCGUCGGUUUAGGGUUUUACAGAAUCGUCGGAAUCGUCGGUUUAGGGUAAACUAUGAAUUGUCGGAAUCGUCGGUUUAGGGUUUUACGGAAUCGUCGGAAUCGUCGGUUUAGGGUAAACUAUGAAUCGUCGGAAUCGUCGGUUUAGGGUUNNNNNNNNNNNNNNNNNNNNNNNNNNNNNNNNNNNNNNNNNNNNNNNNNNNNNNNNNNNNNNNNNNNNNNNNNNNNNNNNNNNNNNNNNNNNNNNNNNNNNNNNNNNNNNNNNNNNNNNNNNNNNNNNNNNNNNNNNNNNNNNNNNNNNNNNNNNNNNNNNNNNNNNNNNNNNNNNNNNNNNNNNNNNNNNNNNNNNNNNNNNNNNNNNNNNNNNNNNNNNNNNNNNNNNNNNNNNNNNNNNNNNNNNNNNNNNNNNNNNNNNNNNNNNNNNNNNNNNNNNNNNNNNNNNNNNNNNNNNNNNNNNNNNNNNNNNNNNNNNNNNNNNNNNNNNNNNNNNNNNNNNNNNNNNNNNNNNNNNNNNNNNNNNNNNNNNNNNNNNNNNNNNNNNNNNNNNNNNNNNNNNNNNNNNNNNNNNNNNNNNNNNNNNNNNNNNNNNNNNNNNNNNNNNNNNNNNNNNNNNNNNNNNNNNNNNNNNNNNNNNNNNNNNNNNNNNNNNNNNNNNNNNNNNNNNNNNNNNNNNNNNNNNNNNNNNNNNNNNNNNNNNNNNNNNNNNNNNNNNNNNNNNNNNNNNNNNNNNNNNNNNNNNNNNNNNNNNNNNNNNNNNNNNNNNNNNNNNNNNNNNNNNNNNNNNNNNNNNNNNNNNNNNNNNNNNNNNNNNNNNNNNNNNNNNNNNNNNNNNNNNNNNNNNNNNNNNNNNNNNNNNNNNNNNNNNNNNNNNNNNNNNNNNNNNNNNNNNNNNNNNNNNNNNNNNNNNNNNNNNNNNNNNNNNNNNNNNNNNNNNNNNNNNNNNNNNNNNNNNNNNNNNNNNNNNNNNNNNNNNNNNNNNNNNNNNNNNNNNNNNNNNNNNNNNNNNNNNNNNNNNNNNNNNNNNNNNNNNNNNNNNNNNNNNNNNNNNNNNNNNNNNNNNNNNNNNNNNNNNNNNNNNNNNNNNNNNNNNNNNNNNNNNNNNNNNNNNNNNNNNNNNNNNNNNNNNNNNNNNNNNAUUGUCAAAAUGUCAUUUUUACACUUAAAAAAUAAAAAUGAUAUUUAUCAAAAUGAUCAAAUUUAGUGGAAACUGGUCAAAUUUUUAAUAUUUAUCAAAAUGGUCAACACAAUUACAUAAAAGGUUUAAUACAUUAUUACACAUCACCAACAACACCCUCUAUCUAUUUUUCUUCUUGCCUUUCUUCUGAUUGCGCCGUAACCAUGGACUAUCUUCAUCAUUUAACGGGAUGCUUGGAUCAUCUUUGACUUUGAAGGGAGGAAUUUCAUCAAAUUUAUUGUAAUCUUCUGACAUUUCUGUCUUGUCCUCGACUCCCACGAUGUUUCUUUUCCCUGAAAGAACUAUGUGGCGCAUUGGCUCAUCGUCUGAUGUAUUCGCUUCCUUAUCUUUUCUUUUUCUUGGUCUGCUAGACAUGUCCUUCACAUAGAAAACCUGAGCCACAUCAUUGGCUAGGACGAAUUGAUCAUUGCCGUACCCAAGAUUCUUCUGAUCCACUGUUGUCAUUCCGUACUUCGGGUCUACCUUCACGCCUGACAGGUUGAACCAUUUGCACCAGAACAAAGGGACCUUAAAGGAAGGUCCGUAGUCAAGUUCCCAUAUCUGCUCUAUGUAACCAUAGUAUGUGACCCUUUGCCCGUUGUCGUCUUUUGCAUCAAACCGGACGCCACUGUUUUGGUUGGUGCUCUUUUUAUCUUGGUCUGCCGUGUAAAAUGUGUUACCAUUUAUCUCGUACCCUUUAAAGGUCAAUACAGUCGAAGAUGGUUGCUUGGCCAACAAGUAUAGCUCAUCUUCAACAAUGUUGUCAUUAAUGAGACGUCUUUGCAACCAACCGCCGAAAGUCUUCGCGUGUUCUUUAGCAAUGAAAUCUUCAGGUUGCUUCGGGUAUUCCGAGCGUAAAAUAUCCUUGUGUUCCUGGAUAUAUGGAGCCGCCAAGCUGGAAUUAACUAGAACUGUGUAGUGUGCUUGAGUGAAAGAUUGCUCGUCCAUACAUGUUGUUGAUUUCUUUCCUAGCGUGCCUUUUCCACGCAGUCUCCCCUCAUGGCGCGACUGAGGAACACCGAUCGGGUUCAGGUCAGGAAUAAAGUCAACACAAAACUCAAUGACCUCCUCUGUUCCAUAGCCCUUGACCAUGCUUCCUUCUGGCCUAGCACGGUUUUUAACAUAAUUCUUCAAGACUCCCGUGAACCUCUCAAAGGGGAACAUAUUGUGUAAGAAUACAGGACCGAGAACAGAAAUCUCUUGGACUAGGUGAACUAUGAGGUGCGUCAUAAUAUUGAAGAAGGUUGGUGGGAACACCAACUCGAAGCUGACAAGACAUUGGACCACGUCCUUCUGUAAACUUGGUAGAGUUGCUGGAUCGAUUGCCUUCUGAGAAAUUGCGUUGAGGAAUGCACAUAGCUUCACAAUGGGUACUCGCACGUUUUCUGGCAGAAGCCCCCUCAAUGCAAUCGGAAGUAACUGGGUCAUGAUCACGUGGCAUUCAUGAGACUUUAGGUUUUGGAACUUUUUCUCUUCCAGGUUUAGUAUUCCUUUUAUGUUCGACGCGUAGCCAGACGGGACCUUGAUACUGCUCAGGACUUGGAAAAAGAUCUCCUUCUCUUCCUUGGUAAGAGCGUAGCUGGCAGGACCUUUGAAAUUCUCUCGAUUCAUCAGGUCGUCUCGUUCGUGCAUACGUUGGUGGUGCAGCCGUGCUUUUGGUGUAUCUCUCGACUUCUUCCCAUGCACGCCCAAUAAGUUUAGCAGGUUCACGCAAAUAUUUUUCGUCACGUGCAUCACGUCGAUCGCAGAGCGAACCUCUAGGAAUUUCCAAUAGGGUAGUUCCCAGAAUGUAGAUUUCUUCUUUCACAUGGCUACGUGGUUGUCGGCGUCAUUCGGAACAGAUUGUGCGCCAGGACCCUUACCAAAGAUUACUUUUAUAUCUUUGACCAUGUCAUAUAUAUCAGUACCUUUAGGGAGGGUUGGCUUCCUCCGUGUAUCUGCCUCGCCUUUGAAAUGCUUUCCUUUCUUUCUUACGGGAUGCCUGUCUGGAAGAAAUCGACGAUGCCCCGGGUACACAUUCUUGCCUAUAUGUAUACUUUCAGUCUCGCCUAAACAGUGUGUGCAUGCGCUGUAUCCCUUGUUUGACUGUCCUGAGAUGUUACUAAGAGCGGGCCAAUCAUUGAUGGUUACAAACAGCAACCCUCGUAGGUCUAAUUCCUCCUGUUUGUACUCGUCCCACACACGUACACCUUCGUCAGCCCAUAACUCUAAAAGUUCAUCAACCAGUGGCCUCAGGUACACAUCAAUGUUGUUGCCGGGUUGCGACGGGCCUGGGAUAAGCACUGGCAUCAUAAUGAACUUACGCUUCAUGCAUAACCAAGGAGGAAGGUUAUAGAUACAUAGAGUCACGGGCCAGGUGCUAUCACUGCUACUCUGCUCCCCAAACGGAUUCAGGCCAUCUGUACUUAGACCAAACCUUAAGUUUCUUGGGUCACGUGCAAAGUCCUCGUACUUAUCAUCGAUGUUUCUCCACUGCGACCCAUCAGCGGGUUGUCUCAGCAUAUCGUCUUCCUUACGGUCUUCUUUGUGCCAUCGCAGCAACUUGGCAUGCUCUUUGUUUCGGAACAAACGUUUCAACCGUGGUAUUAUAGGAGCAUGCCACAUCACCUUGGCAGGAACCCUCUUCCUGGGGCGGUCGUCGCCCUCAACAUCACCAGGGUCAUCUUGCCUGAUCUUAUACCGAAAUGCACCGCAUACCGGGCAGGCAUUUAAAUUCUCGUGCUGACCGCAGUAGAGGAUGCAGUCAUUGAUGCAUGCAUGUAUCUUAUGCACUUCCAAUCCUAGAGGGCAGACAACCUUCUUUGCUUCGUACGUACUGCAGGGCAGCACGUUAUCUCUUGGAAGCAUCUUCUUCAUUAUUUUCAGCAGCUUUUCAAAUCCCUUGUCAGAUAUUCCAUUCUCUGCCUUCCAUUGCAGCAAUUCCAGGGUGGUGCCCAGCUUUUUCUGGCCAUCUUCGCAAUUUGGGUACAACAAUUUUUUGUGAUCUUCUAACAUGCGCUCCAACUUCAACCUCUCGUUUUCACUUCCGCAGUUUAUCUGUUCUUCACGAAUGACCUGACGAAGAUCAUCAUCAGACUCAUCAACAAUGUCCUCAAGUUCAGGCUCGUCUUCCCCCAUUUCAGUAUCACCGUGUUCACCGAACAUAGGAUAGUUAUCAUUAUCCUCUUCUUCUUCAUUGUCUUCCAUUACAACCCCUCUUUCUCCGUGCUUGGUCCAACAAAAAUAACUGGGCAUGAAGCCUUCUUGCAACAGGUGGGUGUGUAUCGUUCUUGAGUUAGGGAAAUUCCUCUUAUUCUGGCAUUUUUUACAUGGACAAAAAAUAAAUCCAUUCUGCCUGUUUUUCUCAGCCACAUUGAGAAAACUAUGCAUGCCAUUAAGGAAUUCGGGACGACGUCGAUCACUGUACAUCCAUUGCCGGUUCAUCUGCAUUAUAUAAAUUUAUCAAAAACCAUUAUGCUAAAUCAUCAUGACUAAAUUAAUUAAUUAAUACAAAAAGUUCAUCACACGUUAAAACCAAAGUAGCGUAGUGACCAUACAUAUACAGUUCUCAUAAAAACACACACUGAAACCAACCAUAAAAACUCUCUCUAAUUAAUGCAUUUAAAAACAACAACAAAUGCGAUCAAAAUCGCAACAAAGGUAACAAUUGACCCGACGGCAUAAUGAUACCAAGCCUCUUUACUAAUUGCAUAUUUUCUAAUCUUUCUAAUCUUCAGACGCAUUGCGUCCAUCUCGCUCUUGUGACCAUCGACGACACCGGCAAGAACCUUUUCCAAGGUCAUCUUCUCUCUUUCAGUUUUUUCCAACCUUUCUUCAGUUUUUUUCAAUCUUUCUUUCAGGCCAACAUUUUCUUGUUCAACUAAGUGUAACUUCUCACCAAUAGGGUCGAUUGGCAUUUCCGGUUCCACUACCUCCUAGAUAAAAAUAUCUAUGUCAAGUUGGUCGACGUAAUUAAUUGUCAUAUAAUCAGGAAAUGAAAAUAUGUAGUUAUAAAAGAUAAUAUACCACAUCCGAAUCAUAGACUGGACGAGGGCCAACGGGGACGGAUAUCAAAACCAUGGCGCUAUACAUAUAAAAAAAUCUUACACAAUAAGAACAUAUAUACAAGUAAAUAUGUAAAUCAUACAAAUCAAAAUUUGUUUUGGUAAAUAAAAACAAUAGGCUCACCAAGGUUGUGUCGGUGAUGGGGCGAUCGACGGCGGUGAGGAAGGGGACAAGGCGCGCGACACUAAAAAAACCACAAAUCAUAAUUAAAUUUGAGCUCAAAUUGCAUAUGUAUACAUAACAAAUGAUGAACUCUCUCUAGCUUAGGCAUUUCAUCAAACACCUAGCUAGCACAACAAAAAUGAAAUGAGCAAGAAAACGAGCAAAACUUGCAAUGCCAGAAGAGGGAAUGUUGAUGCUAACCGUAGGACCGAUGGGUGCCAACAAUCUUGACAAAUGGUGGAGAAAAAUGGGGAUGGAUUAGAGCUCCCAAGAGGAAGGAGAGAGCAAAAAUGGAGUUGAGCUCGAGCUAGAAAAAAUGGGGUGGAAUAUAGGGUGCUCAGGGAGGAAGGAGAGGAGGGCUUUAGGACCGGUUUGUGUCAAAAACCGGUGCUAAAGGGUCUGACAGCGGGGCCCUGCAGUUGUUGCAAAAAUGAGAAAACCUUUAGAACCGGUUUGUGAUACAAACCGGUUCUAAAGGGUCUGUCCACUGGCCCCCCCUCCCUGCAGCAAACGGUCCAAAAACCUUUAGGACCGGUUUGUGUUACAAACCGGUCCUAAAGGCCUUUCGGCCAUUUGCUGCAGGGAGGGGGCCCAGCGGACAGACCCUUUAGAACAGGUUUAUAUCCAAUCCGGGUCAAAUAUGGUUGGCUCAAUGCCCUGUUUUCUACUAAUGAUAGCAAUAGGUAGGGUAGGCACCACGUGAACCUAGGUAUAUAUGAAGCCGCUUUUUAAAUGCAUUUUAAAGAUGUUUCAAAAUGUUGAAAAGUACAAAACAAAAUUUCAAGCACACAUCUUCACAAAAUAUAUGAGGGUUAUAAAAUUUGAUAAAAAAAUCCUUUUUUAUUUAGAAGAUAAAUUUUAGAGCUUGUUGAUAUUUCCGAAAUGAGUUUUCGGAAGUGAGUUUAUAUGUAAUCUUUUUAGAUAUUUUUUUCAAUUUAGAAAUGUGUUUUUCAAAGUGGGUGAAUCUAUGUAUUUUCUGCAAUAAGUCAUUUUUUGUGCAAAUACAUACUUUGGUAGUGAUUGCGUAAGAACACAAGAAGCUUUCUUAUGCUGAUUUCAAGUAAAUGCACAGUAGACAUUUGUCUUGAAUCAUUUCUCUGUCAUUUUCAUCAGCUAUUUUCACCAAAAUCACUCUGCAACAUGAAGACGCGCAUUGUGCGUGCAUGCAUACUACUCCCUCCGUUCCUAAAUAUAAGUCUUUUUAGAGAUUCCACUAAUAGACUACAUACGGAUGUAUAUAGAUAUAUUUUAGAGUGUAGAUUCAUUCAUUUUGCUCCGUACGUAGACUCCUGGUAAAAUCUCUUAAAAGACUUAUAUUUAGGAAGGGAGGGAGUAGUAUAUAGCUGUAUGGAUGCAUGCAUGAAGCUAGCCAAGCGUGGCGGCGACGGUUUGCUGGGUAUAAACAUGUCAACGACGAGAGAUGUGUGACGCCUUUUCAUUAUAAAAAAAAUGAUGCGGACCUCCUCAAAUAGAUGCAAGAUGCAUUCAUGAUUUUCUUGACACACGUACAGACUUAGGUUUUUUUUAUAUGAGGCCUAGUUAGGUACACACAAUUUCAAAAAUACCACGCGUUAUUGAUUAGAUGUUACUCCCUUCGUUUUAAAAUAUAAGACAUUUUAGAGAUUACACUAGGAGACUACAUACAGAGCAAAAUGAGUGAAUCUACAUUCUAAAAUAUGUCUAUGUAUAUCCGUAUGUAGUUCAUAGUGUAAUAUCUAAAAGGUCUUAUAUUUAGGAACGGAGGGAGUACAUGACAUGCCCUAAAAAAAGAAGUUACGUGACAUGCCCACCUAAUAGAUUGGUAAAAUUACAUAAAUCUAACGGUCAUGGUUUAUUUGUUUAAUAGGAUCCAUUAGAUAAAGAGUUGGUAUUUUCUGAUUAACGUGAGAUUUUCUUUGUAAUCUCUCUAUUUUCAUUUGUAUUUUGCUUUUAGUAGAUAAUAGAUAGAUUGAAAAUUCGCAUGCUUAAUCUCUUUGGGGUCAUGAAUCCAAAUUUGGAGUGAAUUGUACAUAUGGAUUUUUAUCCUCCAAAGGAUUAUCAAAACAUAUCUUUAGAGGAUGAGAAAAACUUGUAUCUCAAUGCUCAAGCUUCUAACGUGCUUCUUAAUUCCUUGAGAAAUGUAGUUAUAUUUUAACUCAUGCCAUUUCGGAAUGCUCAUAAGUUGUGGACCGAGCUUCAAGAUAAAUAUGACGUGGCCAAAAUUUGUAGGGAUGAUUGUUCUCCCUCCACCUCCGGUCGCAUUGUUUUCUCAACUUCAUCUACUUCACCUACUUGUGGAUUGCCACAAUGUAAUGAUAUGGUGAGUAGUGGUGAUCAUUGCAAUGAUGAUAGUGGGCUUGUUGUUGAUGAUCCUUCAUCACUAUCUUAUUGUAAAGAUUCAUCUUUGGGCGUUAAUACUUCGAGCACUCUAAAUGUUCUACAUGCUUGUGUUGAUAGUCCUUGCAUAUCAUGUAAAAACCGCUUGGCUAAAUCUCAUGAUGAUAUGCUUUUUAUAUCUUGUUGCCAUGAUAAAAAUGUAUGUAUUUCCGCGAGUUGUUGUGCUAACAAUGUAGAGGAAAUCCAUCACUCCAUGAAAAAAUAUGUGCCCUUGAAUGAUGCUUCAAGGGAUCCUACAUCAGCAUCUAUUAUUUCUCACUUUUGCCUUAUGGUUAAGGCUUCAAAGGUAUAUCCUACAUCGAAUCCCAAUAUAUCUCAUGAUGAUGAUGUUGAUGAUAAUGAGGAUAAGGAUAAUGAUGAAGAGAGUGGUAAUAUUGCAUCCUUAAAAAUUAAGGGUGAAAUGAUUCUUAAAUCUCUUUAUAAGAAUAAACUUGCAUGUUCCACCUUCAUGGAAAUCAUGUCUAUUGGCAUUGAGGGCAAGAAAUACAAUGAGGAGUUGGAAGCUCAUCUCGAGGAGCAUGAGGCCACCAUUGAGAUAAUGGAAGGUCAUGGGCGUGAUUACGCCGAUGAGAUCGCGGAGCUAUCUCAAGCUCUUGAAAAUGAACAAACCACCAAGGAAUCUCUUGAGGAAACCUUUGCUCUAGAAUUCUCUAGAUUAAAGGAAUCCCAUGAUAGAGCUCUCGAGGUGGCUAAUGAUUUUAGAGCUAAAAUUGAUAAGGUUGAAGUUGCACAUGCUAAACUCCUUAUGGACCGUGAGCACCUCAAAAAUGGCUCAAGGGCUAUUAAGAGUUCGCUCAUCGAACUCACCGAGUCUCAUGCUCAACCUGAAGCUUCAUAUACAAAAUAGCUUGCCAAGGUUCCUUCUCUUGUUGUUUAUAAUGUUGCUUGUGCUACUAACUCCAUUUCUUGUGAAGCAUCCAUAUUAAAGGAGAAUGUUGAGCUAAGGGCUCAACUUGACAUACAAAUAUAUUAUCUUGGACAUCUUUUAUGAUUGUGAAUAUCAAUUAAUUAUUUUCAAACUUGAUCAAAUAGUUAAAGUUGGACAAGGAAUACAACGUAAUUGUUAUGUUUGGAUAUAUUUACAUAGAAGUUAUAUUGUUAUGGAUCCUCCAACGUGUGGUGCUUGAUUAGAAUCUUUUGCUUGCCAAAACUUCGUACUAAGUAGAGAUAUUACUUGUGCAUCCAAAUCCUUAAGCCAAGUUUCUUCCAUGAGAGUCCACCAUACCUACCUAUAUAUAUGGUAUUUCACUUCCAUUUCAAGUAAAUUUGCAUGUGCCACCUCUAAACCUUCAAAUGAAUAUCCAUUAUGUGUGCUUGUACCGCUCAUGGAGCGACGGGGUGGUCAUUAUCUUCCAUGCUAAGCGAGUUAUUAUCAAGAUGAGUAUUUAUUCACUUGCCAUUGCACGAGAGAGGCUGCUAAAAAGGAUUCCCAGUCCUGCAUAAUACAAAAAUAAUAAACAAGAACUCCCCUAGAAAUUUGAUUGUUUGGAGGGCACACGUGGAUACGACUAGCCAUGGAAUGUGAUUGAAUGGUGGAGGGGGAGUAAAAUUUCAAUUUUGUUUGGGAACCGCCAAUAAUGUGAUUAGCAUGGAAGGUAUUCAAAAGGGCACACCACCCAAAAUUACAUAUUCAUUUCUAUUUUAAAACAAUGAGCUCUGGCACCUCUCCAAAUCCCUGCUUCCCUGUGCAAAGGGACAAUCUAUUUACUUUCAUGUUACUUACUUUUCAUGUUGUGUCCACUUCAUAUUACAACCUCAAUCUAUUACUUGGCAAUCACUAUGUGGUGGGAAAAGAUCCAAACAUAUAUAUCCAGUCAAAUAUGUUUGAUCAUGAUUCAUUAUUGUUGACGAUCAUCUUUAUGAUAAAAUAUGUUAGGAGGCGAAACAUUAAUCCCCUAUCUUUCUCUAUGUUCGAUGGAUGUUGUUUGUUCUAAAAAUAUGCCUUGAGUAUUAGCAAUAAUAGAAUAUUAUAUGAUAAUUGAGAAUGUGGAUCUAUUACUUUGACUUGAUGAUGCAUUGAAAUUGUUUGAUGACUAAGAACAUAUGAUGUUGGGUUUCAAGAGAAUGCAUUGUUUGAACCAUGACAUGUGAAUUAAUUGCUUCAAUGCCAUGAUGAUUUUUAUGAAAAAGUUGCUCGUUAUGAUGCCAGAAAAAUUGAACGGAAUUAUCAUUGAUCAAACUUAUAUACUAUGCUAGCAUUCACACUUCAUAAAAUAUUUCUUUUAUCAUUUACCUAGUCAAGGACGAGUAGAAAUUAAGCUUGGGGAUGCUGAUACGUCUCUAACGCAUCGAUAAUUUAUGAAGUAUUCAUGCCAUGAUUGCCUAUGUUAACAACACUUUUAUAUGAUUUUGAUGCACUUUAUAUGAUUUAUUUUGAACUAACCCGGACUGAUGUUGUUUUCAGCAGAAUUACCGUGGUGGUGUUUUUUGUGUAGAAAAUGAAAGUUCUCAUAAUCGGCCGAAACUUUUAUAAAAAAAAUCUGGAAAUAAGCAAUAUUGGAGCGAAGAACCACCGGAGGGGAGCCACCAGUGGGCCACAAGCCAACAGGUUGCGACCCCCCCAGCACGCGUUGGCUGUGGCGUGAUGGUUUGUGGGGCUGCUGCGGCAAAAAAAGUCCUUCCCUGGCGCGUAGUAAUUCUUCUUGUUACUUCUCUGGUUUGCAUCGGUUUUUCCCUUGAAGAGGAAGGGUAAUGCAGCACAGGAGCAGUAAGUAUUUCCCUCAGUUUGAGAACCAAGGUAUCGAACCAAAAGGAGGGCCUCGUCAAGUCCAAAGUACCUGCGCAAAAACAAACAAUCUUGCACCCAACGCUUCAAAGCGGUUGUCAAUCCCUUCAAGAUUGUUUGCAAAGUGAGAUCUGAAGGCGGAAAGUGCAACGAAGUGAAAAGUGUAAGGCUGAAAAUAUGGUGUGGAGUAGACCCUGGAGGCCAUAGUGUUCACUAGAGGCUUCUCUCAAAAUAGCAAAUAUUACGGUGGGUGACGUAUCACGGGACCAUGUGGCUCCAUUUGGCAUGAUUCAAACGUUGAAAAAUCCUAUAUAUACAAGAAACUCCAUAAAUAAAGAGAGAACUUGCGCUCCGCUGCCUCAACUCUUUGUAUCGACGAAAAACCCAUCUACAACCUUUCCAGUACCCUAUCGGAGAGGGGAAAUCAUUUCCGGUGUCCAUCUUUAUCAUCCUGGCGGAGGCCAUGACGAGGAGGGAGUAGUUCACCCUCGGGAUUGAGGUUUUGUACCAGUAGCUAUGUGUUCUCUCUCGUGUUCUUGAGAUGUCAUAAUCAUGAUGUAUCGCGGGCUUUAUUUAUAUAGUUGGAUCAUAUGGUGUUCUUGAUAUGACAAAGGCUAGAAAUAUGAAUUUGGUUUUAUGUCUAUCGAACAACUAUCUAGCUUGAAAAUUAAUUUCAAUAAGAGUGAGUCGUUCUACUUUAAGCACAUCAAGGAAAAACAGGAUAAUUAUAAACAGUUGUUCAAGUGUGAGCUAGGAUCCCUAACUUUUAGGUAUCUAGGAAUACUAAUCCAUCAUUGUAGAUUAACCAACAAAUAAUGGAAUUGCAUUGAAGAUCGAUCUGAAAAGAAAGGUGUUGGAAGGGCAAGUUUAUGUCUUAUGGGGAUCAGUUAAUUCUUAUAAAUUCCAUGCCAACGAGUAUGUCGAUGUUCCUUCUGUCAUUAUUUGAAGUACCCUUGGGGGUACGAAAAGGUUGGUUUUCUAUUGAUCUUGUUUUAUUGCAAAUAGAUGAAAACAAAACAAAGUACAAACUAGUCAAACAAGACAUAAUUUGUAGAACUAGAGACCAAAGAGGUUUAGGAAUAAAAAAUUUGAGGUGAAGAAUAGAUGCCUACUCGGUAAAUGGUUGUAUACAUUAUCGGCUGGGGGAUGGUGUGUGAAUACAGUUGUUGCGUGACAAGUAUUUAUAAUCUGAAAUUCGCGCACAAGUUAAUUCAUAGUUGGAAAUGAAAAUAAUACUAUGUAACAUCCCAAAUUUUGGAUUGUUAAUAUAACUAAUAGAUUGAUUGAUUGUUUGAUGGAGUGAUUGAAACUUGAGUGAAAUUCGAAACUUUUUUAAAACUUUUGAAUGAGUGGGAAUAAAAUGACUUUCCCAUUUUCUUUUGAAUUCCAAGUUCAUCCAAUACAAAUUAGUGAGAGAAGAUAACAUGACUUAUUCAAAAUAAAGGACUUGGAUAAAAAGGUGGUCCGUGAAAAUAAUUCCUUUUGCAAUCUAUUUCAUAUUUGGUCCUAUUUGAAAGUUUAAAUGAAUUCAAAAUCCCCUUACCCAAAAUUCAAAAUCUUCAAAGGAGCAAUAUGAUACUCCAAAUCAGGGGCCAUUUGACAUUAUAUUUGAACAUAUGAAACUCACAAGACUAUUUUGAAUAUGUUUUAUAUUAUGUUUUAAAAACAAUUUUUGAAGUGGUUUUCAAAUUUAUUUUUCUCCAAAAAUAAAAUACCUCGAAAAUAGGGUAAAAUGAUUCCCUUCAAUAUAAAAAUGGAGAGAAAUUAAUUUGAAUCCAUUUUAGUAUUUUCAAAAUAUUUUCUUUGCAUUUUUCUUAAACCACCAACAUUGUUUGAAUUUUCUGAUUUUGUGAGAUUUUUGUUUCGCCUUGAAAAUAUGUUCAUAUCGUGGGAAAUAUUUUUCUACAAAUUUUGAUAUAUAAUAUGUCUAUAUAAAAGUGUUAUAGAUUUUCUUUUAUUUAGUUUCCUUUCUGGUUUUGUAUAAUAGGAAAUAAAUCGUUUUUAUUAGGAAAGUGACUUGCGCCUGUUAGCAAAUCUGGCCCGUAUCCUCUUCUUCUUCCUCACGAGCUCCUCCUUCCUUCCCUGCGCGUAGAGAAGCUUCCUCACCGGGGCAACGAAUCCCGAGCCGAUCUCUUUGCUCUUUCCUUCCCCGACCCUCCCGAGGCCGCCUAUAAAUAGAGGAGUGUUCUUGAUGUAGUAUCAUGUGCUAGGCACUCAUAAACUCUUGGUACUUGGACGGGACGUUAAUUUGCUAUGCUCCUAGUAGACGGGGUCUGGUUUAGUGUUUACCAUGAGUGUUGUGAGAACUUAAUAAUCAAGACCUGAAGACUUCAAGACUCUCAAGACCUCAUGAUGCAAUAUACCUCUGGGUGAAGCACGGUUUUGAUGGGCUCCCUGGGGAAACCAGUGGAUGAACCGGAAUGCAUGGGGAAGCGCCAUGACAUAUUGCGGAAAGCUUCACAUAGGCACGAAGAGAUGGAUGGAUACUUCAAGACCCAAGGCCUACCUGCACAGCCACAAGUCAUUAUGGGCUCUGGCUUGGUCGGACACUAUGGUGACUCUAGACGGGCGGUGCUAUGAGAUGUAAAAGAACGGUAGGAUUGGAUGGACACCGACACUGGCUCAGAGGAACCCUUUGGAAGACCAAGUUUUGAUCAUCCGGUUCUCAAACACCCUGAAGUGCGAGGACUCCAACGAAGGCAAUCAAAUCUUGUGGAGAACGUGUGCAAAACUCUGCAGAGUACGCAAAACUAAUCGGUUAGUCGUGUCCACGGUCAUGGACAACUUCAGCCAAAGGAACUGGAGCUAUCAGGAAUUCUCAACACCAUUAACUUAUUGAUGUGGGUAAUAUUGAUAACUUGGGUAUGAUAAAUGGUUGGUGGAACCUUUCUCAUUAACAACCAACAAUGUAGUAAAUUUUUCUUUUACCUCUCUCUUGCUGUAGGAAAAUUUUGCUUUAUGCAAACUUAAACUACAGCCCCACCUGCCAUAUAUGCAUAUAGGAUAGAUGAUAUUUUCACCCUCUCUUUUGUGACUUGCCGGCAUAUUCAAUAUGUUGACCUAAACAUCUUAUGUUGCAGAUACUUUCUUCGACGAGUAAGAGUAUGAUUCAGGGUUACGGUCUGCACUCAACCUGUCGUUGAUGUUUAUUGGGAAUCCACUCCCUUUGACUAUUUCCGCUGAGAUUUUGAGGUAUAUAUAUCAAUUUUACGUUAUUUACAUGUGAUUGCACUUUGAUAUUUACAUUGAUGUACUGUGUGUGCCGGCAUAAUGAUCCAGGGAUGGCACAGAUACACAGAGGCUUGACUCUUUUUGAGUCGGGUCGCUACAGAUAUGGUAUGAGAGCACAUGUUGACUGUAGGACGUAACCCUAGGAAAUGGCUUAGAAAUAGGAAGACCUUGAUAGGAACAACUUUUAUUUUCACUACUCUCGUACCUCUUAAUUCUUUUACUGAACAUUCCCUAUUUCAAAAACUAUAAAUGGAGAGUUACACUCUGAACGAAAGAGAGCACAACGAAGAUGUUCUCGGAGGCCCAUUUCUCAUGGAGCUGGUACAGAUGAUGAAGUUGCCGAUACGUGGGAUCAAGGUGACUAAGAGGAAGUUUGGAUUUUGGGGUGUCAGAACUAAAAAAUUUGGGCGUAAAGAAGACCCCAAGACUGAAGACAUCAACUAUGGCACGUUGACCCAUGACUGUGAUAUGGGCAUGAACACUGUUGUUCAUGAUGCUAUCGUACGUUUGAGCUAUCGUCAUCGUGUUAAGUUGGAUACUCACUACUUUGGAAGGCUUGGAUGGCAGAAGCCUGAGGGAGCACACAUCAUCCUGGCAGACGAGCAGAAGGUGAAGUUUUCACCUGUAGUGGUGUAUAAUCAAGAACUGGAACAUUAUAUCAAGAACCUUCAGAUGGACCUUCUCUCAGAAUUGUUUGAGAAUAACACACUUCAUGAGAGUCUCAAGGGCGGGAAACGGAAGGUAGCCAAUGUGAAGAAACACGAUCCCUAGAUUCAGAAGCUUCGUCAAGACUUGAAGAAUAGUCAAGCUAUGGCACAUGUUGGUGAUGUUGAAAUCCAGAAGCUCAAGAACCAACUCCUGGAACUACAAGGACGACAUCGGAAACUCCGCGAAAACAGGGAAUAUAUGGCAGAAGAACUUGAGAAGAUCAAGCCUGACGAGAAGAAGCCCACUGAUGAUGAAGACAUGAUAUGAGCUAGCUUAGUAGUAGUAGCCCCCCAUGAGAGAAAUAAAGACGAACGUUAUUGCGUAUUGUGUGAUCGACCAGACCAACCUUAUGUGGGUGGCGAUACUAUAUUAUUGAUUGAACUUUAUGAAUGUGUGGAUUUGAUUUUAGAUAUUUUUGUGUCUUUUGUUUAUAUAUUUUCCCUCUCUCUCUCCCUCUCUUACCCAUCUCAUCCCAAAAACCAUGGAACCAAUAGAUGGCGUACGAAGCUGGACUUGUAAUCUCUGGACCAAUGACCCAUCUCGAAGUUGAAAUAUGGAUUCGGAACAUGGAGAACCACUUCGAGAGCAAUUUGAUUUCAAGGAAAUAUGAAGUGGCACACACUCUUCAGUACUUUACCCAAGGUGUUGCUAUCUGGUGGAAAAUGCAUCAUGCCAUACAAGGAUUUAGUGGAGCAGAAACUUUGGACGAAUUCAAGAAGACUCUGUUAAGAUCCCUUCUCAUUCAGAAGUGCUAUGAUAGCCCGAUGAAGAAACCUUAUGCAUGUAAGAUAUGUGGAGAAAUAGGACACACCCAGGGAGAACACAAGGAUGGAUGCCCUCAUUGUGAAUAAAAUCACCCAGCAGAGGAAUGCCCAACUAGUCAGGUGACUUGCUUCUUGUGUGAAGGAAUCACCCAGUACCCAGCUCCGUGUCACAUUUACCCCAAGGUGCAAAAAGUUGUCAAGCAGCAGAAAGAAGCAAUGAAAGAAACACUCAAGGACAAGAUUCUAGAAGAACCGGGGAUGAAGGAAAAUAUAGAAGAUCCUGAUGGAGAGAGCCUAACCAGAUUUUUCUCCAAUGCAUGUUACUCAUGUGGAGAAGGACAUUUUUCACAGGAUUGCACGAAGGAAAGCCAUAAAUACCUGGGAGACUUCCCGACAGAAAAAGUAGAGUUUGAUCCACUUGAAAAAGAAGAACUGGCUAGAAUGAAGGAGUCCGGAAAGAAGAGAAAGUACACCAGCCAGAGUCAAAUCCUUGCACAUAAAGACCUCAGUCAUAUCAGAUGUUUCAAGUGUAAGGAAUUGGGCCACUACAUCAAUAUGUGCCCAGGAAAGAAGCAGGAAACCCAAGGAGUAAAAGUAAACACCAAGAAACCCCGAGACUUGUCGGAACUCAUUUGCUUCCGUUGCAAGGAAGCAUGACAUUAUGUUAGUAAUUGUCCACAUGGGAAGAAAGCUAAAAUGGAGUAGUUAAGUUUUGACAAUGGCAAUAAGUGUAACAUGAAGCACUCUUGUUUCAUGAGAUUAUGGAGUUGAAUUUUGUAAUGGAAGACUCAGAGAUUGUAAUAACUUCAUGAAUCAAUGGAAUUUAUUGUGUCAUGAUUUCUUAUGUUCAAAUUGUAUGAGUUGUUUCUCUAUGAACAAAGACCGCUGACCAUUUUCGAGGAUAUGAGAAAAUAUGGUCUAUGCAGGCAUGAGUAUAUCUCAUUUUAGUGUGGUAGUAAUCGAUAAACCCACAUGAUUCAAUGAGUAGGAAUGUACCAUGCAUACCAAGGAGCCAUAAUCCACUGAAUACAGUUGAAGGAAAUGUUGGACCAUAUCAAACUAUGGGGAUGACAACAGAUGAAUAAUGUACCUUGGAAUUGGAAUUUUGAGGAGAGAUUUGAAAUGAGGAACUGCUACUGCAACAAAAGACCUUCCAACGGUGCCAGAAACACGUGCUGACGGGAGACUGUUCUUGUCUUGAUACUCCUCAGCAACGGCACCAGGAAUCCUUCUGCUACGGCUACGCCUUUAGGGACUUCCUAGGCAAAUAUGCAAAGGAUUUCCCGCGGCCUUUGAGCCUUGCGUUGGUUUCCCUCGAAGCGGAAAGGGUGAUGUAGCACAACGGUGGUAAGUAUUUCCCUCAGUUUUGAGAACCGAGGUAUCGAUCCAGUGAAGGAGUAUCACAAGUGCCUGCACAAACAUAAAAUGCUUGCUCCCAACCCUAUGAAGGGGUUGUCAAUCCCUUAUAGAUUGUUUGCCAAGUGAGAACUGAAAGCAACAAAGUAACAAAGCAAAGUAAAAGCGAAAGUGGAAACGAUAAGUGUGAAUAGACCCGGGGACCUUAGUGUUCACUAGUGGCUUCUCUCAUGAAAGCAAGUAGACGGUGGGUGAACAAAUUACUGUCGAGCAAUUGAUAGAACCGCGCAAAGUCGUGACGUCAUCUAUGGCAAUGAUUAUAUCUAUAGGCAUCAUGUCCAAAACAAGUAGACUGAUACUUUAUGCAUCUACUAUUAUUACUCCACACGUCGACCGCUAUCCAGCAUGCAUCUAGUGUAUUAAGUCCAAAAGAAUAGAGUAACGCCUUAAGCAAGAUGACAUGAUGUAGAUGGACAAUCUCAUAUCUACGACAAAGCCCAACUUGUUACCCUUGAUGGCAACUACACGAUGUGUGCCUUGCUGCCCCUACUAUCACUGGGAAAGGUCACCACACGGUAAGAACCCAAAACCAAGCACUUCUCCCAUUGCAAGAAUCAUAGAUCUAGUUGGCCAAACAAAACCCAAGACUCGGAGAGACUUACAAGGAUAUCAAAUCAUGCAUAUAAUAAAUCAACAAAGACUCAAAUAUAUAUCAUAGAUAAUCUGAUCACAAAUCCACAAUUCAUCGGAUCUCGACAAACACACCGCCAAAGAGGAUUACAUCGUAUAGAUCUCCAUGAAGAUCAUGGAGAACUUUGUAUUGAAGAUCCAAGAGAGAGAAGAAGCCAUCUAGCUACUAAAUACGGACCCGUAGGUCUGAAGUGACCUACUCACGAGUCAUUGGAGGGGCGAUGAUGUUGAUGUAGAAGCCCUCCAACUCCAAAGUCCCCUCCGGCACGACACCGGGAAGGGUCUCCAGAUGAGAUCUCGCGGAAACGGAAGCUUGCGGCGGCGAAAAAGUGUUUUCGUGGAUUCCCUGAUUCUGUUCUGUAUUUUAGGGAAUAUAUAGGCGAAGGAGCUAGGUCAAGGGGGCGCCAGUGAGGCCACAAGCCUGCUAGCCGCCGCCGGGGGGGGGGGGGGGGGGUGGCGGCUACAGGGCUUGUGGGCCCCAUGUAGCUCUCCUGGCUUGGCCCUCAAGCCCCCUGAUCUUCUUCCAUUCGGGAAAAAUUUAUUUCAGGGAUUUGAUUCCAUUUGGACUCCGUUCCAAAAUCAGAUCUGAAAAGAGCCAAAAACACAUAAAAACUGGCACUGACACUUGGCACUGAAUUAAUAAGUUAGUCCCAAAAAAGAUAUAAAAGGUACAUAAAACAUCCAAAGAUGACAAGAUAACAACAUGAAACCAUCAAAAAUUAUAGAUACGUUUGAGACGUAUCAGGAACAAACACUUUUAUUGGUAAAUAGACCAAGGGAAGAGAAAAAUGUACUCAAGGAAUACAACCCGUACCAAGGACGCACCCUGAGAUUUUCAUGAAGGUUGCCCCAAGAGCAUGAAGGAAAAAAGCUAUGAUGGAUCAACAAACGUUUUCUUAGGAGCAUACGAAAAUCCCAGAGUUGUGAAGAAACGUAGAUGUUUUUGAGCUCGCAGAAUCAUUGGAUUUAUCCAAACUUCGUUCGUGGAUGAGAGAAAUUUUGUAAUGCUUGUGAGGAUGCCCGAGUGUUAGAAUACGAGAUUCGCUAAACCUUAUACAGAGUAAUGAUUUGGGUGCGAAAUGGAUUGAUCACCAUGGCGACUUACUCUUAUCAUUCCCUUGCUAUUCGGAAUGGUGAAUCUGAGAAACUUACCCGUAGAGAGAGACGACGUUCUUUGAAGCUUUUGUUUAAGCCUUAGAAUGGUAUGAUGAAAGCCCCAUGUACAUGGCAUUGGUUGUCACCUGUAGGAAAUUUUACGGUGAGGAUGAAGCCAAGACCCUUCUCACUACAGGAUAACCACAAAUUUUAGAUCACCAUGAGAAUCAUCGAUAGGUUAUUUAUAAUGGUCACGAGACUUCUCCGAUAAGAAGACCCAGUGACAAAAGAAGCUUAUAUCCACGAAAGACAUCAGAUUCUCAGGGGAACGUUAUGAAUAUAACGCAAGAGCAUCGCCAAAGGUGUUAGUAUGAAGAAUGUGAGGAGUCUGAUGCCAAGACCCCAAAGGAUUGUAAAUUUUUGAGGGACCAGUAACUCUCAUUCUAAGUGUGGUAGCACCCCACCAUGCACGAAAUUGGAUUUGUUAGAAGACCCCCAAACCCUAACCUUUUCUUUCUAGCCUCUUCGAAUCUCGAGGACGAGAUUCAUUUUAAGUGUGGUAGGUUUGUAACAUCCCAAAUUUUGGAAUGUUAAUAUAACUACUAGAUUAAUUGAUUGUUUGAUGGAGUGAUUGAAACUUGAGUGAAAUUCAAGACUUUUUUAAAACUUUUGAAUGAGAGGGAAUAAAAUGACUUCCCCAUUUUAUUUUGAAUUACAAUUUCAUCCAAUACAAAUCAUUGAGAGAAGAUAACAUGACUUCUUCAAAAUAAAGGACUUGGAAAAAAGGGUGGUCCGUGAAAAUAAUUUCUUUCGCAAUCUAUUUCAUAUUUGGUCCUAUUUGAAGGUUUAAAUGAAUUCAAAAUCCCCUUACCAAAAAUUCAAAAUCUUGAGAGGAGCAAUAUGACACUACAAACCAGGGGCCAUUUGAAAUUAUAUUUGAACUUAUGAAACUCACAAUACUAUUUUGAAAAAAAAUUAUAUUAUGUUUAAAAAAAUUGGAGUGGUUUUCAAAUUUAUUUUUCUCCAAAAAUAAAAUACCUGUAAAAUAGGGUAAAAUGAUUCCCUUCAAUAUAAAAAUGGAGAGAAAUUAAUUUGAAUCCAUUUUAGUAUUUUCAAAAUGUUUUCUUUGCAUUUUUCUUAAGCGAGCAACACUGUUUGAAUUUUAUGAUUUUGUGAGAAUUUUGUUUGGCCUUGAAAAAAUGUUCAUCUUGUGGGAAAAUCUUUUUCUGCAAAUUUUGGUAUAUAAUAUGUCUAUAUAAAAGUGUUAUAGAUUUUUGUUUAUUUAGUUUCCUUUCCGUUUUUUGCAUAAUAGAAAAUAAAUCAUUUUUAUUAGGAAAGUGACUUGGGCCCGUUAGCAAAUCUGAUCCGUAUCCUCUUCUUGUUCCUCACGAGCUCCUCCUUCCUUCCGUGCGCGUACAGAAGCUUCCUCACGAGGGCAAAGAAUCCCGAGUCGAUAUAUUUGCCCUUUCCUUCCCCGACCCUCCCGAGGCCGCCUAUACAUAGACGAGCCUCCCCUCUCUUCGCUUUCCCCCAAGCCCGACACUCCCCUCGCCGGAACACCGCCCCGCCACCCUCGCCGGAGCUCGCCCCCACCGAAGCUCCACGAGCUUCUGCUCCUCCCUCCUGUCGCCCCUAGCCCCUGCCGACACCACCAAGCUUCGCCGGAGCUCCCCCUCCUCCACCUGGACUCCUCUGCCGCCUCGUGCGACCACCGGAGCCACCUUCCCGUCGCCUUCUCCAACUCCGGCGACUAUCUCCGGUGAGCUUCAAAAAUCCCGUAACAGUUUUUUCCGAAAAAGAGCAAACUUAGAAAAUUCAUAUCUAUUGGUCUAUAACUCCAAAUUAGGUGAUUCUUUUUGCGUUAGAUCACAAAUCUUAUGUAGUUUCUGUAGAUAUAAAAUUUGACCCUCUUUGGAUAUUUAAAUUUUGAUUUUAAACAGAUUUGGUUUAAACCUUGUUUUGUGAAUAUUGGGAGUUUUAAAAUAGCUUUUGAGUUAAUUCUUUUUGCUACUGAUCAGUAGUGAUAUUAAUUGUCAGUGGGUUAAUUUCAGAAUUUUUAGGAUAUAUUAAAUAAGAAUUUUAAGCAAAACAGAUUAUGUUUAGUUCUUUUUAGGAUUUUUGCUACUUCUUUUGCUAUAAUUGUUUUAAAUUUAUUUUCUUUUAUACUUGUGAAAAGUUAUAUUUUUAUUUUCUGCUAGUUAACAGUAGGUUUUUAACAACAACAAAAUUUUAGUAUUAUUUGAUAGCAUGAAUUCAAUUCUAGUUCGGUAAUAACUUACAAAUUGAUUUCGUUGCUAGUUGAUUUCCUAUUUGAAAAUAAUUUCAAAAUAAUAUUUUUUUAUGAAAAAUACUUUCUGUUAUCUUAGUUAAUUUAUAUUUUACUUUCCCUUAUUUUACUAUUUUAGUGUUUUAUUUGCUGUUAAGUUUAAUUAGAACACAAACUAUUUGGUGAUUGUUAUAGUAGAAGGCUCCACAGUUUUUCUUUGAAGUUUCUUUUGGAUUCUCUUUUGAUUUGAUUUAUUGGAUAAAUUCUAUUUGAUGUUGUGAUAUUGAUUGCUAGGAUGAUUGCUAGUAUGAUUUCUUAUAUGAAAACUAUGUUUGAUUAUAUAGAGGGGGGGGGGGAGAGUGACGAAUAGUUCUAUCUAGUUUUUCCUGUGAGCGAUAUCUAUCUUCCACAACCUUACGAGGCAAGUUCACUUUGAUCAAAAUUUACCUAUGGUUUUAUUGCAUUAGAUCAACCUUCUUCGCCCAUUGCAUGCAAAUAAGUACUUGGAAAUUUUGGUUCUUGAUGUAGUAUCAUGUGCUAGGCACUCAUAAACUCUUGGUACUUGGUCGGGAUGUUAAUUUGCUAUGCUCCUAGUAGACGGGGUCUGGUUGAGUGUUUACCAUGAGUGUUGUGAGAACUUAAUAAUCAAGACCUGAAGACUUCAAGACUCUCAAGACCUCAUGAUGCAAUAUACCUCUGGGUGAAGCACGGUUUUGAUGGGCUCCCUGGGGAAACCAGUGGAUGACCCGGGAUGCAUGGGGAAGCGCCAUGACAUCUUGCAGAAAGCUUCAUCCAGGCACGAAGAGAUGGAUGGAUACUUCAAGACCCGAGGCUUACCUGCACAUAAACAAGUCAUUAUGGGCGCUGGCUUGGUCGGACAUUGUGGUGACUCUCGACGGGCAGUGCUAUGAGAUGUAGAAGAACGGUAGGAUUGGAUGGGCACCGACAGUGGCUCAGAGGAACCCUUUGGAAGACCAUGUUUUGAUCAUCCGGUUAUCAAACACCCUGAAGUGCGAGGACUCCAACGAAGGCAAUCAAAUCUUAUGGGAAACGUGUGCAAAACUCUACAGAGUACGCAAAACUAAUCGGUUAGUCGUGUCCACGAUCAUGGACAACUUCAGCCAAAGGAACUGGAGCUAUCAGGAAUUCUCAACACCAUUAACUUAUUGAUGUGGGUAAUAUUGAUAACUUGGGUAUGAGAAAUGAUUGGUGGAACCUUUCUCAUUAACAACCAACAAUGUAGUAAAUUUUGCUUAUACCUCUCUCUUGUUGUAGGAAAAAUUUGCUUUAUGCAAAACUUAAACUACAGCCCCACCUGCCAUAUAUGCAUAUAGUAUAGCUGAUAUUUUCACCCUCUCUUUUUUGACUUGUCGGGAUAUUUAAUAUGCUGACCUACACGGCUGCAACGUCUUAUGUUGGAGAUACUUUCUUCGACGAGUAAGAGUACGAUUCAGGGUUACGGUCUGCACUCAACCCGCCGUUGGUGUUUAUUAGGACUCCACUCCCUUUGAGUGUUUCCGCUGAGGUUUUGAGGUAUAUAUCAGUUUUACGUUAUUUACAUGUGAUUGCACUUUGAUAUAUACAUUGAUGUACUGUGUGUGAGAGCAUACUGAUCUAGGGAUGGCACAAAUACACAGAGGCUUGACUCUUUUUAAGUCAGGUCGCUACAUACUAGAUUAUGGGAAGGUACCUCACUCGGGAACAAGCCAGUAGCAUUUUAGUAUCCUUCAAUGUACAACAUUGUACAACAUAAAAAACUUUCGUCAAUACAAUACUUGGUUUUGUUCCUCUAAAUAUCCACUUCAGUUGGGUGGCGAUGGGGAAUGAUAGGAUAGAUGGUUCAAUCUCGUGCGUAGUUGAUGAAGGUUAACCUCUUUGAUGCACAAGAUACCAUACACUUGAAGUUGUACAUUUCAGGCGCAUUCUCAGUUAAAUCCAUGUAUUUAAACUUGAUAAACAUCGGUGCUAUCCCAAAGUCUCUUGACAUCUCGAAAGUUAAGGUGCCUUUACAAAUAAAGGUAUUUAUGUGGUUUAUGCACAAUGAAGUGAUAUUGACUAAUGACAACAUGGCAAAGCGUGGUUGAAAGGAUACUAGACAUUGUUAUUUUUGUGAUCAGAACAAAUUAAUACAACAUAUUUCCAUCAAAUGUCCACUAGCCGUGGCAUACUAUUCAUGUGUCCUUUAAUGUUUGUCCUCCCACCACUUAAUCCAUUUUAUUUAGGACGUGGUUAAACAGGGUAGAGCCUAAGAAAAUGAUGCAUAUUCAAGUAGCAAUAUAUGUAUCACACACAUAUUAUGUUAAACCACGUAGAGUGAUUUUUUUAUAGAAAAGGAGGAUGAUCCCCGGCCUCUGCAUCUGGGAGAUGCAUGUGGUCAUUUUAUUGAUUAUUCUUGACGACCUUACAAAGCAGUACAAUAAUAUGCCUGAAUCCGCCAUCUUAGCAACAUCUGCCGCUACUCCCAUCCAUAUGAUGAAGGGGUGCAAGCUGGACCAAAUACCCAAACCUCUCACCUAAGCCUAACAUCUAAAGCCGGAGACCUUGACCGAGCCACAUACCGGGUCCGAGGCACAAACCGGUCCGACGCACUCACAUGUGUCGUGACCGCCAUCUUCCACUGGUCCAUCUUCAGAUCAAAUUAAGGUACUAGCCUUGGCAGGUGCCUCCGCCAUCGACGCCACCAUGACGCCAAACGACGACCUCCACCUACGCGAGUCCAUCUCCAAGCAACAGACGGAGAUCCAUGCUAGGAUAGGGCCGCACCACCGCCGUCGCCCACCACCCACAAGCCCUACCUAGCCCCAAGGUUCCCAAAAGCGGCGCCUUCAAGAAAGGAACGACGUCGUGAGCGCCGUCGCCGCCCAACAAAGUUAAGGCUUUCGUCCGGGAGACCUAGGGGAAGGGGAAGUGAGGGGAUCAGUCCAUACCUACGCCUCCAAGGAGGGGAACAGCGCCCUCAUGCGUCGCCGUCGACGCGGUCGACCAUGGCCGACCAGGGAUUUCGCCCGGACUAGAUCCCCGCCACCAGCAACGACUCCUGUACAAAACCAGGUAGAGUGAUGAUUCAGAAGAGUGAUUAUGUCAUUUUUAAUAGAAAAAUAUAUGAUUCAGAAGAGUGAUGAUGCCAUUUUUAACCACACAUAUAUGCAUCACACACAUGGUUCAGAAUAUAUGCAUUGCUUUUUCUGUUAAAAAAUAUAUGAUUCAGAAGAAUGAUGAUGUCAUUUUUAACAGAAAAACUAUCACAACUUUUUUACAUGUUAUCUUACGGGCAUCUCUUUAUAUCCAUACGUGGUUGUUACUCAGCUAUGCGGAUCACAUGGAGCUUAUGGCUAUAGGGUGCAACGCCAAAACAUGAUAACAUGGAUACUUACAAACGGUUUGGAAAGUGAUCCAAUGAUAAGAUAAGUAUAUAGUCAUCUUAUCAUAUUUUCACACUUGUAGCAAUUUUUUUACCUUAUUAUACAGUUUGCUUGAGACCUUUGUCUUAAAUCUCGAAAAAAGCUAAGAGAAGCAUAUAUUUUUCUUUUCUUCCAAGAACGUAUCAUUCUUAUAGCAAAGAAACUGCAAGUCUCUCCAACACUCUUCUGCACCCGAGCUCAUAUGAACCCUUCCAAAGAGUACGAUAAAAAAAUCUGAUUUUUUUUGGAGACAAAUUUUAACGAAUUCUAAACAUGUGUGUUACUUCCUUCAUUUCUAAAUAUAAGUUUUUGUAGGGAUUUUACUAAAUAUAUAUAUAUAGGCAUAUUAUAGAAUAUAGGUUCACUCGGUUUCGUAUGUAGUCCGUAAUGAAAUCUCUAGAAUGAUUUAUAUUUAAGAACGAAGGGAGUACAUUUCGUGAAGAAACAACAUUCGGAAAAUGCUUUUGUAUUAAAAAAAAUGGCGCUCAAAAAGUCUCUUCCUUGGGGCAUCAAUUUUGUUUUUCUUACGGCAUCACUUUUGGAGGGUUGUUUCUUUAUGAAAUUUUGCAGGCAUGUUCAGAAUUCGUCAAAGUUUGUUUUAAAAAAAAAAUCAGAUUAUUUUUGCUAUUUUUUUCGACUUUACUAUUCACAGGGGUGCAUAUGAGCUCAGUGCAGAAACUUCAUGUCCUCUGUCCUUCGUUGCUCGGUGUUUGGUUGGGCUUCCAGCCAGCUUCCGGCUUUCGGUUUCGAAGCCAAAAGCUCCUAUUUAAGGGCUUCCGGCUACAGUUGUGGCUUUCGGCUUCGGUUGUGACAAGGCCGAAAGCCACAGCUGCAUCCGGCUUCCGGUUUCGAAGCCAAAAGCUCCUAGUUAGGGGCUUCCGGCUACAGCUGUGGCUUUCGGCUCCGGUUGUGAUAAGGCCGAAAGCCACAGAUGCAGCCCGAAGCCCUUAAAUAGGAGUUUUUGGCUUAAAAGCCGGUAGACGGAAGCUGGCUGGAAGCCCAACCCUCCGGCUCAUCCACCCGGGAACAUGACCAGCAAAAAUCCAAAACUGCGCUACAGCUCAGGGGCACCCAGCCAGCCGCAGCCCACGAGGCAGUGUAGACAUCACAUCACACGAUCACGCAAUGCAAAUGCAUGGAAUGUACCCCGGGCAUCAAAGGAUCUACCCAUUUCAGUCCGCGUCGCCAGCUUCCGCCGUGUUCCCCCGUCUCUUCUGCGCGGGAUCACAUCGUCCCCACUGCACAUGUAGCCAUCGUCUAUGCCUUUUACCCCAUACCUUUCUGCCCUGCACGGCCACAACCUCCCAGGACGCAAACCCACGAAGGAAAAAUCUGUGAGAACGAACGUACCAUCGCCGUCGGCGAGAUAGUAAUAAACAGUGCAAAACGAUCAAUCAAACCACAGUUGCUCGACGCUGAGCAGUCCAGGCCUUCAGGGUCAAACACUCCGAGAACGAAGUUUGAACUUCCUUCAGAAAGCAACGCUCAGAAGGAAGUUCGAACUUCCUUCAGGCCUUCGUACCAUUGCUUUUUGUUUAGCUUCCACUGUUUUUCCUGAUCAGGUAGCGACGUCAACAGAAAGAAAGUACGUACCAGAUAAAUAAAUAAAUGUAUUCAUGCGCAUUGCAUCACCAGUGACGAAACAAUCGAGCGACAUGGAAGGCGCCGAGGUCUUACACUUUGAUUCUUCAGACGUUUUUUCCGAAAAGUGAUUCUUCAGAGACUGUGACCAAAUAUUUGGGAAAAAGAUGUUUCAGCUUUGCAAAAGUUGAGGUCCUCGCUGGUGCACAUGUGAACAGUGGUGAUGGAACAUACUCUCAGGCCAAUUGUGAUGCCCAGAACUUUUGUGCAACCAUGGAACUCUUGGCCGCCGACAAUGGCUCAAAGCAGGGGUUGUGCGUCGGGUGUGUUGAAGCAGGUUCCUGUCCAUCUGCAAUUUGACGUAUUUGAGUGACACAAGAUUUCUGACAGUAGUCGAAGUUGUCCUAGUUCAAGGUGCACAUGUGCAUUUGUGACAAAGUUUCCACAGUGCAGUUUUCAUGGUCGUUACUAAUGAUUUUCAGUUCAUCAAAUUGUGAAAAACAAACCACAUGACAUAUGUUGUAAGAGCAACCCCUUAUACCCGUCUCAUACGUCUGGCUAGGCUGUUUGUUCACUGUCCGAUCAUGACAAAUCGAUUGAGACGGACUCCUAAACGGACCUCAUAUCCAACCCAAAUUUGGGACGUAUAUGGGGGAGCCCGGGCUCGCCCCGGCAUGCCGGCCUGACUGCCUAGCUCACCACUGAGGCCUGGCCCACCACCGACCCCACUAAAUACCCGAAUCGAGAAAACCCUAUACAUCCGGCAGUUCACUCUCCAUCGACUCCACUUCCCCUCCCCACGUUCCGAUUCGAUGGCCGACGACGGAAGCAGCUCCGACGGAUCGAACGUCGAUGUGGAGGAGGUGGCCCUCUGCAUCGCAUUACGCCGAUCGCUGCGGGACCAAGGUGUCCCCAGCGUCGGUGGAUCUGCAUCCUCCGGGACCGUCGCACGUCAACGGAGCGCCGUCCGCAGUGGAUCAGCAUCCUCCGGGACCGUCGCACGCCAACGGAGCGCCGUCGGUGGUGGAAUUGCAUCCUCCGGGCCCGUCGCACGCCGACGGAGCGCCGGAGACGUCGCAGGCCCUUCCUGCGAGGUGCGCAGCUCCGAUCCCUCCUACUCCGGGAGAUCCGCUCCAGAUCAGGUACGCCACCCAUCUCCACUAGCUUCUGCUCCGGAAGCGGUGCCCAGUCAUCGUUGGGUCCUCGUGCCCGCGUCGGGGACGGGGCGCAUGAGGACGCCGGAAUCCGAGGCGUGUGCAGCCCCUCACGAGUGACAUCGGGCUACGAAGAGGGGGGAGGCACUCGCCGCGCGCCGUUCGACCUCGAGCGCGUCGGUCGACCCCGAGGACACACUCCUCGUGGGCGUCCUUCUUCGCUCGCUGAGAAUGGCGGAGACAGAUGCGCGCCGCCUCCGCCGCAAGAAUGACGAAGCACUCCGACUGGCCAUCCAGUUAUCGGAGCGCGAGGGAGCAAAAGAGGCGGCGAUGAAGGCAAAAGCAGCCCGCCACACAAAGGAGCAGGACCGCCUGCUCCACAGGUUGUCCGGCAUGCGGUGCAACUCCGACGACGAUGACAACGACGUCUCCACCACGUCCGGCUCCGAUGACGAUGACGAUGACAACAACUCUCCAUCGCACGUCGACGUCUACACGGAGGAGGGGCACAGCGGCGUGGACGACCGGAAUUGGAAGGGGCGGCGAGCAAAUGAUGAUUUCCUCCAUCCUUCCCCGUUUUGUUCAUAUUUUAAGUAGUUUGCAGUAUGAAUUUGCCGAUGAACUCCAAUAAACUAUGAUCUUUUUGUUUGGCGAAGCAAUCCGAUCCGAUGAAAGAUGUUGAUCUCUCAUUUUACGUAGUGUUGCAUGUGUUUGUAUGGAUACGAGGGUUUGAAUAUGAGGGAUGUAGAUGUGGAAGGCAAAAAAUAAGGCGCGCCACAUCAGUGCCUGCGAACGCGCCCGGAUGCGUCUGCGGACGUUUGAGGGACCGUAUUUGAGGGGUCCGGCUAUAGAUGCUCCAAAAAAACCUAAAUUAUUCAAAAACGUUAUAAGAAACAAAUACAAAAAGUUGUACUGAUCAUAUUUUAAAUGCACGCUAUAAAAAAAACUUUUCAUUUUUUUUUGGGCCCAGGCCAAUUGAUUGAAUCAGUUCUGCUCCUUACUCUGAAGCAAACAAACUAGACCCUCAGAUAUGACGUGGAUGCUACAAAAAGUAUACCGUCGUGUACGUAUUUGAAAGAAAUUUUCCAUAGGGUAAUUUUUAUAUCAUACAUUUCAUAUAUUACUAACCUUGUAACUAUUGAAAUACGUAUUAAGGCCUAUAUAUAUGGAGUACAAAUCAGGUCCCACACCUCAUUCAAAGUAAUUUGAUGGGCGACAAGCAUUGUUCACAAUGAAGUGUGUUUCUAUUUAACUUUUUGCUAGAAAGUAGGUACCUAUAUAAUGAAACAGUUUUUAGAACAUUGAUACUCCCUCCGUUUUCCUAAAUAUAAGUCUUUCUAGAGAUUCUAUUAAAAGAUUACAUACGGAUGUAUAUAGACAUACUCUAGAGUGUAGAUUCACUCAUUUUGCUUCUUAUGUAGUCAUAUAGUAAAAAUUUUAAAGACUUAUAUUUAGGAACGGAGGGAGUAGUAAACCAUGAAAAUUUUUAUUUCUGAAGAAAUCUUGAAUGUUUGGAAAACUAAAAAGGAAAAAUAAUAGGAACUUAAAAAACACAGGAAUCAUGAUGAAUUUCCAUCACUGUUCAUUCAUUAUCAAAUUUUGCAUUAUUUAUUAACCCUUGUGUGCAAGAUCACAAUCAUAGUUUUUGCACAAACUAAGUCGAAUAGGACAAAAAGAAAAGAAGAAAUGUUGUGGCAUGAAUGUUAAGGGCUAAAUUUCUCUCGUUAUAGUACAAUAGAUACCCUUGCCAACCGUUAAAAGAUAGAAUUUCAGAAAGGUAUGACCAGAGACUUCUAGUAUCACUUGUUGUGAACCGAAUCAUUUUUUUAGUCACGAAUGCAAUGUUUUCUACUCCUUCCGUUUCUAAAUAUAAGUCUUUCUAAAGGUUUCGCUAGUGGACUACAUACGGAUUUAUAUAGACAUACUUUAUAGUGUAUAUUCAAUCAUUUUGCUUCGUAUGUAGACCCCUAGUAAAAUCGCUUAAAAGACUUAUAUUUAGAAACGAAGGGAGUAUUUUUUUUACAAUGGUAAUUUUUCCUAUACUUUGAAAGAAACUACUAGAUCAUGUACUUUCAUUAAACGAGAGAACAUACGACACUCCGCUAUUCAUGACAAAAGAUGUCUAUGUCAUGUAAGUUUUUUUUUUUAGAAAUCAUCAGCCAAGGGGAUCCCUAUAAGGACAGUUCUUUUGACGACGACUUCCAGUAAGCCAUCCCCAUUGACAACAAGCUGGGAGAGACAGCUCAUGGAAGAAACCAUUAAGAGAACUAGGCUUAAGGCAUCAUGACCCUUCUUAAAAUUCUGUAACCCUCAUAUUCGAUUCCCUCUGUCUAUGAAAAAAAGGAAAAUCUGUGAGAACGAACUUACUAUCUCCGUCGGCGAGCUCUUAUACCAAGGAAUCAAUCAAGCCAGUAGGAUGGUUACGAUGUAGACUAGUUGAGGCCUUCAUCAGGGUCAAACACUCGGAAAACGAAGUCUGAACUUCCUUGAUAAAGUGAUGGUGUGAAAUAUAGUUCAGCGCAUCGCUCUUUGUUUAAUUCCCUCUCUUUUUCCUCACGAGGUAACGAUGUCAACGUCAAAAACAAAAUACUGAUAAUGCAUGCGCACUGCAUCACCAGUGACGACAACAGAUACGAAGAGAGGACGCCAUGGUCAUAUACCCUUCAGGCCUUGACAUGUAAAUAUGGGACAUACUCUCUCAUGCCGUUGGUUAGGGCAUCUUCAAGAGCGUAUACCAGAUCGGGAACCGCAAACAUCAACGGACGUGUCCGCGAACAUGGAUACGGGGAGAGCCGGUCAUCAACCAUGCAUGUGCACAAAACAUCCACGUAAGUUCAAAUGGACAAUAAAAGAGAUGGAUGCAAUUCAUGCGAAUCACACGAUUUCCUUUUGCAAAAUCGAUGUAAUUGCAUUCAAACCGAAUGGUUGUUAAGAACUUCAACUAAAAUUAAAAUUAAACUAAACUAAACUCGCAUUGUAACCGCUCAAUAACCUGAAACUCCAUUAUAGGUGUGGCCAGGAGCAAAGUGGUUAAUUUGAGGAAAAAGGGGGUGGUGGCUCUAGGUCGAGGACUCACCCUACGUGUCCUCAUGGGUAGGAGUGACGCGAAAAAGGUGAGGAACGAGGAGGGGGUGGCGGCUCUAGGUCGAGGGGUCACCCUCGAGUCGCCGUGGGCAGGAGCGACACGGCAAAGGUCGGGAAUGAGGACGGGUGGCGGCUCUAGGUCGACAACUCACCCUCGUGUCGGCCUAGGCAUGAGCGAUGCGACAAAGAUGAGGAAUGAGGAGGGGUGGCGGCUCAAGGUCGAGGAGUCAUCCUCGUGUCGGCGUGGGCAGGAACGACACGACAAAGGUGAGGCAUGAGGAGGGGGUGGCGGCUAUAGGUCGAGGAGUCACCCUCAUCUCGCCCUGGGCAGGAGCGAUGCGGCAAAGGUGAGGAACGAGGAAGGGAUGGCGGCUCUAGGUCGAGGAGUCACCCUCCUGGCACCAUGGACAGGAGCAACGCGGCAAAGGUGAGGAUCGAGGAGGGGCGGCGUCUCUAGGUCGAGGAGUCACCCUCAUGUCACCGUGGGUAGGAGCGACGUGACAAAGGUAAGGAACGAGGAGGGGUAGCUGCUCUAUGUCAAGGAGUCACGCUCAUGUUGCUAGUGGGGCAAAAGCGACAUGACAAAGGUGAGGAACGAGGAGGGUGCGGCGGCUCUGGCUCAAGGAGUCACCACAUGUUGCCGUGGGGAGGAGCGAUGCGGCAAAGAUGAGGAACGAGGAUGGGUGACGGCUCUAGGUCGAUGAGUCACCCUCGUGUUGCUGUGGGGCAGGAGCGAUACGGCAAAGGUGAGGAACGAGGAGGGGGUGGUGGCUCUAGGUCGAGGAGUCACCCUCGUGUUGCUGUGGGGCAGGAGCGAUACGAUAAAGGUGAGGAACGAGGAGGGGAUGGCGGCUCUAGGUCGAGGAGUCACCCUCCUAGCACCAUGGACAGGAGCGACGCGACAAAGGUGAGGAACGAGUAUGGGCGACGUCUCUAAGUCGAGGAGUCACCCUCGUGUCGCCAUGGGUAGGAGCGAUGCGAGAAAGGUAAGGAACGAGGAGGUGUGGCUGCUCUAUGUCAAGGAGUCACCCUCAUGUUGCGAGUGGGGCAUGAGCGACACGACAAAGGUGAGGAACGAGGAGGGGGCGGCGGCUCUAGGUCAAGGAGUCACCACGUGUUGCCGUGGAAAGGAGUGAUGCGGCAAAGAUGAAGAACGAGGAUGGGUGGCGGCUCUAGGUCGAGGAGUCACCCUCGUGUUGUUGUGGGGCAGGAGCGAUACGGCGAAGGUGAGGAACGAGGAGAGGGUGGUGGCUCUAGGUUGAGGAGUCACCUUCGUGUUGCUGUGAGGUAGGAGCGAUAUGACAAAGGUGAAGAACGAGGAGGGGGUGGCGGUUCUAGGUCGAGGAGUCACCCUAGUGUAGCCCUGGGCAGGAAUGACGCUCAGUUUCGUUGCAAAUGUAUGAUGUUUCUGCAAACAAACUUGACUCUCAACUUUCAAAAUUCUAGAAUUUAGGUCUCUCACCUCGUUCAAGGUGAUUAGGAUGACAAGCAGUUUCCCUACACAACUGGUGCCUAUCUAACGAAACAAUAUUCAGAACAAUUUUGUAUCUGAAGAAAAAUCAGGAUUGUCUGGAAAAUUAAAAAGGGAAAAAGUUUAGGAACUUUCAUAUAUGUAUAAAGACACCGUAAAUAUGAUGAAUUCUUUUCAUGAUUCUUCAGUAAUUAUUUGACAAACUACUCUAGUUUCUCAGUUUCCACCGCACGUCAAGUUUUUGUUUUUGCUUCCGCUCAAACACAAAAAAGAAAAGAAAAACCGACUUCGUUUCAAAAACAAUGCUGAAACUUUCUGACUUCAUUCGCAUUGUACCUUCUCAAUGACCUGAAACUCCAUUAGUCCGCGAGGAGUCGUUCCUAGAGCGACAUCGUUCCGCGACAAGAUUCAGGGCCAUCUCACACACUUGAUCCCCGGGACAAUCUCUAAGAAAUUGGACGCAACAUUAUUAGGCCAGGCAAACGCUUGAGUUUUAAACUGGCAGAGCACACCAACCGAACGUGUGCACGGCAGCAGCAUGAUUGUGCUCCUCCUAAUUUAAACCAUCAAUCUAUCAUCAACUAGUGGCACAACGACACAUCCUCUAUUUAAUUACAGGUGUUUCGUUGUAAAGUAAUCGGCUUUCGCAGCCACUUAGCCCCGACGCAUCUUUUGCUCCCUGACACGAAAAAUAAACUACUUGAGAGUUGAGAUAUUUCACAAGAUGCGACAAGGCUCGGCAUCCUUGAUUACGGUUGCAGGACGAUGCUGAAAACACACACACNACACACACUUGAUCUCAACAGCAAAUGGCUAUUUCUAAUAUCUGAACGGGAAAGCGAUCGAUGAUUAGUUGACACGCAUGUGGCGCUGUAAUGGCUGCUGCUGCUUACACCGGGCGAGUGUGUGAGUGGGCUUGUGCCGGGAAAGUAAUGGCUGCUUGCAUUCGGAUCACAUGGUUAAGCUGCUUGGUGGUCCAAAUCAGGCCAUCAUUUCGGCCUUGCAGACCACCCAUGCUUGCACAUGUGGUGCUGUCAAGAGUCACCGCAUUUAUACUCCUGUGCUUAGCCAUCACUCAAGCUGACUCCAGUUAUCGCCGUAAAAAAUAUAUUUUAGAGCGUCUACGGCAGAUGGGCAAAAUCCAGUUUCAAACGUUUGUAUCCAGUCCAAAUGUAAGACGUAUAUGAGAUAGGUCGGACGCGCCUAUCAAGUCACUUCAGUCCAUCGCCGACCCCGUACCGUCCUCAUAAAAAACAUCAAUCCGUCCCAACCCUAGCUCAUUACACUCUCCUUUCUCGCAUAGUCCUUCCACUCUCCACUCUCGCUCAAUCCCUUCCUUUCCCCUCUUCGAUUUCGAACUCACCCGACGACUUCGGUGAGAUGUCGAGCUCCGGCAGCCACUCGGGCUUCGACCUUGACAUCGAGGAGGAGCUGGCACUCCGCAUUAUGCUAGAGUGGUCCAAGGUGGACAUGGGGCAACUCCGGAUCUGCCACGUCGGUCGCUCCUACAUCGGCGCAUCGCGACCGUCGGAGAUAACUCCUCCCGGCUCGCGCGCAGCUUCGCGAGGGUUGCGCAGUCCGCUCUGCCCCCAUGUUGUCCCCUCCCCCUACUAGUCAUUGCUCCACAAGGCCAGCGGCGGGUGCUAGUGCCCGCUCCAUCGGUCUGGACGCGCACAGCAAAAUCGGAAGUGUGCGCCACUCGUCGUGCGAGGCAGCGGGCAAGGGAGAGGGACACGACGAAGCAAGAAGUGCACCGUCGCUGCUGGUUGCCAACGGUGCCUGACGAGGAUGAGCGGGUCCUUGCUUGGGUCUACCGCCAAUUGCUGACGAUGAUGAAAACGGACGCUCGCCGACUACGGAGGAAGAAUGCGAAGGCGCUCUAGUUUGCCAUUGAGCAAUCAGAGCGCGAGGCGGAUUGGGUGGCCAAGCUCAUGAGGUAGUGGGAUAUGGCCAUAUGUCGGAUGAAGGGGUUCAUCAUCCUCUCCGACUCCUCGUCCGGCGAUGGCGACGACCACAACUCCACCUCCGACGAUACAUCACCUGUAGCGGAGGCCUAUAGCUGCAUCGGCGAUCAAAAGGAAAAAAAGGCACAUCCAGGAAGUGGUAAAGAUGAUCCUCGUUCAUUCCCUCUUAUCGUUUUCUGGUUGUUUUAGUUUAGAACAUGUCCGGUGAUGAACUGUGGUGAUCUUUUGGAUGAUGUAAAGUGGAUUUCGUUAUCUCUUUACCACCGAUUGCUAUGUUCAUUGUUUGAUCUACGAUUGCUAUGUUCAUUGUUUGAUCUACGUAGAUUAGUUCAUUUUACAUUUAUAGUAUAGAUAUAGUGUGUUUGAUAUAAGGUACCCGGAGGUGCGGAUGAGAAUCUAAGGUAUGAGCGCGGAUGUGUCGGACGCGUCUGCGGACGUAUAUGACGCCGGGUUUGGUAAUCAUGGUUGUAGAUGCUCUUAAUUACCAUUUGGGUCAAAUCAUAUGUACAUGCUAAGGUGAGUGCUUACAUUUAGGUUUCAGGUACUUCUUUAUUUAGAAAAGACAGAAAAUCCUCAACCGUACAUCAUGUUUGAACUUGCUCACCCGUAGAAAAUCAUGCAGGCCAUUUUUUUAGAAAAAGAGGCUGAGCCCCGGUCUCUGCAUCAAGUGAUGCAUGGAGCCAUCUUUAUUACUUAUUCAACAAUGGUCUCACAAGUACAUACAUCAAAUCACCCGAAGCCCCCUCUCACACCUACAUACCGUGAUAAUGUGGAGUGCUCUCACUCCCCGUAUCUAAAUCCGAUGUCAUCUCCGAUCCAUCCACAUAACGUAUCGGAACUCACAGCCGGUGCAGCAGACCUAAAGCGUACACCACAUGCACACGUUUUAGAAGCCGCCAUCAUCCUCGAACCGUUGAACCAUCUUCAGGAGAGAGAUCUGCGUAAUCUUUGUCAGUCCAGCCAUCCGUCGACGCCAUCACGGCGCCCAACGGCACCACCUCCCCGUGCUCGUCCAUCCAAACGCGAAGGCUCAGUAAGAUCUGUCAUGCGUAGCACCUGCCGACCAGGCAUGACAAAGCGUAGCACCUGUCGGCCAGGCAUGACCUGACAUCAUCACUGAAGCUCCGUGCAGGACGGAGAUGCUCCACCUCCUGCCACCGUCUUCCAGUACUGCUCCACAAACGAUGCUCCCUAGAGAGGAACGACACCGCAAUGCCGCCAUCGUCCGAUCUAGAAAACCAGAUCCUAGGGUUUCCCCCGGAGCAGGACGAGUGGAUCAACAGUAGUUACAUAACGAAGCCUUCAUCAAGGUAACGGCUCAGAAAGCCGCCAUCGUUCGCCGUAGGCACGGUUUUCACCGGCAACCAUGUCUCCCCAUCAUCAGACCCGUCAUCUCCGACGGAGGGGACGCUGCCACCACCGUGGUCCCAGGUCAGCCGUCGCCGUCGGCACCGCCAAGACCGGAUUAGAUCCGGCCAGCAAGCACCAGGAGAAGGCACCCGGAACCAGGCUGGCGCGGUGGAUCAGGCUGGAUUACCAGGCGACCCGGCCCCGGGAGCCGAAGCCGCCGCCACCCCGGGCGCCUCCGUCCAGGCUCUGGAACCCCGCCGCCACUAGGAGCCGCCGGUCGAAGCCACCGCCGUCCCAUGGGCCGUCGUCCAGGCCUGAGAUCCCCGCUGCCACCGGUAGCCGCCGCCCCUGGAACGAAGUUGCCGCUCCGGGAACCGCCGCCGUCAGGCGCAAGAUCCCUGCCGCCCCGGGAACCGCCGCCGUCCAGACGCAGGGUCCCCGCCGCCACCUUCAUCAAGGUCACAAGCCAAUGUCGUGGCUCCCUCUGGCAGCGGCGGAGGAGAGGGAGAGAGGGGGAAAACGCGGCGGCGGCGAUGCUAGGGUUUCCCCCGAAUCGCCGGGGAGGAGGCGACGCGGGGGACGCCUUGGAUGAAUAAGUAAUUGAAAUCAUGCAGGCCAUAUGAUAAAAUUUCUCAUGUUUACAAAAAGAUUACAAUGUUCAAAACUAUAAAUCAAACAUUUUGUCACUUUUGCGCACAAUAUAUCUGAGACUCUUUGUGUAAACUAAUCUAAUAUCUUUUAAAUCACUAUAUAGUCAAACAAUUAGUGAUUUAAAUGAUCUUAUAUUAGUUUACAUAACUUAGGUUUAAAUUACGCGUAUGCAGACGUAUAUGACGCCGGGUUUGGUAAUCAUGGUUGUAGAUGCUCUCAGUUAUCAUUUGGGUCAAAUCAUAUGUACAUGUUAAGGUGAGUGCUUACAUUUAGGUUUCAGGUACUUCUGUAUUUAGAAAAGACAGAAAAUCCUCAACUGUACAUCAUGUUUUAACUUGCUCACCCGUAGAAAAUCAUGCAAGCCAUAUGAUAAAAUUUCUCAUGUUUACAAAAAGAUUACAAUGUUCAAAACUACAAAUCAAACAUUUUGUCACUUUUGCGCAGAGUAUAUCUGAGACUCCCUAUGUAAACUAUAUAGUCAAACAGUUAGUGAUCUAAAUGAUCUUAUACUAUAAGUUUACAUAACUUUGUAUUUUUGCAUAAAUUUUGAUAUAUUUUAUAAAAUGAUGUACUUUGUAAGAUGCACAAGUACCUGAAACCUUAAUCUCAAGCACGCACCUUUGUAUUGCAAAAUCAACUUGUCUUCACAAAGCUUUCCUUCACCUUCCCUGUACACACCUUGCUUUAAUUUUUGGCCUCCAAUUAUAACCUUUCGGAGUUUUCCACCUAGACUUAUUAACCUAAUGACAGAUAUUCCUCCGUAGAGGGGAUUUUGUUGGUGGAGUUGGUCUAAUCAAGGUAGAAAUUUGCAUACCAUACUUUUGACUUCAAAGUUUGAGAUAACAUAACCAAAUCCCCAUUAACUAUUCUUUGUUCCGCACGCGUUUACUCUAAACGCCGAGCUUUAAGCACACCUCUGCCCUUGAUAAUCAUGCACAAAAAAGCUUGCAAACCCAACUUUAUGUUCACAUAACCACAUGGUUUAAGAAAGGCCAAAAGUGUGGGUGGCAACUAAUAAUUCAAGAGAAACUAGACUAUAUUGAGACCCAGAAAAGCUUAUCAUUGGGCUCAUAGCAGCCACCACCUCCACUAGCGCUGCGAGCAGUUGAGUACUGUCUGCUGGAAAUAGAAUCUGGAAAGGUGGGAUGAACCUGAUCUAUCCGUGGCCAUUUCUUAAUCCAAGACUCCUACUUAGACACAUAAUUAGGGGCCGUACUCGAGACUAAGUCGCUAGCUAGCAAAAGGACAAUUGGUGAUGUAUUGACGCCCACGCUGCUUUGCCGAUCAUAUCACGAGCGUAAUUUGCAAAGGAUUGGAAUAUCUAACGACCUUCAGAUUUCUAGACAUGACAAAUCGAACGUUUUUAAGGCAUAUUAUGUUGGCCGAGGAUGGCAAGUUUAGCUUGGCCACCAUGGCAAAUCCGUCCCAGUUUCAUUUUUUGCCGGGAAAUUGAUGUGCUUGCAAGCUAAAUUUGUUACCAUUGCUCUGACAUAAAUUGCGAUGAGAAACAUUCGAUCCGCCAUGCUAACAAAAGCAAACGUCCGAUUUUUAGCAUUUCCGUUUGGAAAAAGAUUCCGAAACAAGAAAAUCGCGCACACAUCCGUAGCAGAAACUUGGUGGAUGCAAUGAACCACGAGGAGAAGGAAAAAAACAUGGUACAAAAGAACACAUGCGCAAAGAACAAUUCCAAAUUCCAACAGUUGCUGGCGGCAGUAGGGCUAGCUUUAGCUUGGCUGCACCUGAUUGGGCCGCGGCUUGUCGUUUUGUUUCGGCUGCAGAGUUUGAUUGACACUUACUAGAAUAUUCCGAAAUUUCAGUAUAACUCUGAAGUCUAUGAACCAAGUGACUAUUUCAGGCUUUGCAACUUCGACCGCUUCAGUAAUUUGUUGCUACUUUACCAUUGGACUUCAUCAAUCCAUUGAAAAAACUGGCAAAGCAUAGGGGGGUUGCCGAUCAAAUUUGUGAUCCUAAAACUAAACAAUACUAUCCUAUCAAAUUGCUGCACGAGUCCAUUAUACAAGGCGUGUUCAAUGGUUCAGAUAGGAGGAGGUGGUACGUCAUUGUUGAUGCCUACAGUCUACAGACACCAGCAAGCAUGUUAUCAGAUGGUUUUUUUUUGCACACAAAUUUCUGGGUCCAAGGUUCUUUAUACGUUCAGAAUGUUCUGGAGGCUUGCAAGAAUAUAAUGCCUUCUGAAACCCUGAACCAGCUGCUAGUAAUUCUAUUUCCUAUGCUACUCCUUAGUUGGCAGCAGCAAAAAAGUGCCCACAAGCCCAUUUGGGAAAAUCAGCAUUGUUUGCUAGUACAAUAAGUUAGAAACAAAAGUACGUCGUUUAUAUGAUUUGUGUAAAGCACAGACUGUCGUGAUGGCCAUGAAACGAAACUGUCGGUGACGGCGAGCAGAGCAUUGUUCCAGCCAUAUCGGACAGCUGAAAAGAUAAAAGAUAAGGUCGAGCGUAUAAUUCAGAUAACUGUAUCAUAUGGCUCGACCCUAUCUUCCGAGUGGUUGAAUUGAAUACUGAUCAAUCUGAAUUGAAUUGGAUUGAAUUGAGUUGAAUACUGUUCGCACAGCCUGAGCAUAAUUGGCACAGGUUGGAAUAUAAAACUGGCACUACCACUGCUAUCAUAUGCUAGUAUAAUCGGGGUGUGAAUCUGCAUAGCACAUGUUGUUCGUUUACUUCCUCCGGAUCAAAACAGAGGCGAUACAGGAUCCAUGACAAGACGGCCAGAUCUGUCCGUGUCAUUAUUUAACCUCUCUCGGAUGGAGAAAAGGGACUUUUCCUCCGGUUUUUCCAGGCCCCAACACAUGUUUUUUCCUUCAGGUUUGUUUUUCAUGGCCUGCUCGCCUUUGCGACAAGCCGAGCGUGCAGCACCGGGAAAGAACAGAUAGCAAGACAAAAGCCCCGUACGUGCUGCACUGGUUUAACCCUCACAUUUCUCCAGAAGAUCGAUCACAUGAUGUGAUUCGGCAGCUGAGCACACGCGGCGAGUGAGUAAUCGAUUAGUUCUGAUUAACCAAAUGAGAAAAGCGGACAGACAGACUCCAUUUCAGAUAAACUCCAUGAUAGUACAGAGAAUGCAUCGGUUCCGAUCACUGAACACUGAUCUCUCAUCAUCAUCCUUCUAUACAACAAGGUAAAUGACUAACCAAAAUGGAUCGAAGAAAGCUACCCGGCGCAUGAUCAGCGUUCUUGCUGGCUGGCUACUGGUUUCCUCCACGGGGCGGGCCGGAAACUCUUUCCUGUUAGCAAUCCCUCCGAUGCAGCGAAGAUGGCGCACGCAGAUGUAGAGAGAGAGAGAAAAAGAACGAUCAAAUCAUCUCAUCAGGAGCCUAAAUCUGUGGCAAGUCUAGCGCGCCGUCAUGGUUGUUGUUGUCGUCGCUGCCNNNNNNNNNNN